rnacentral:lncRNA from 1 species
CCAGAAAAUGUCUUACUGAUUCCAAAUCGGUAAGACGUUUUCCAUAAAUUGGGGCCUUUUUUACCCGUGUUUGUAAAACAUUUUCCCUUAGGAUUUCAUUUUACACCAAUCAAACACUGGAAAAUCCGUAAAAUAUUUUCCAGAAAAUAUUUUCCACCAAUCAAACAGAGCCUUAAUCUCAUAAUUCACAAAAACUUAGACUCUUUCACUCACAUGAAUGAGACCCCUAUUGGAUCCCACCUACCAUUUUCACAUGCUUGUGGGACAUCUAAUUGGGUCCCCAUCGGUUUCACCUAAAGAGGUAUGUAUUUAAUUACUCCUCGAGAUUUUCGCUAUUACUAGAAUUUAAGAUGGGUAAAAAUUUAAUUUUAUAAAAAUUAAGUUUUGUAAUGGUAAUUGUUUAUUAAAAUUUAAACAUCUUAAAUACUUUUUUUUAAUAUUCUUAAUUGUUUGAUGUGAAUCUAGUUUAUAAUUAAUUAUACAUUUAUAAAAAGAAUAAUUAGGUGUAAUAGAAAAAUAGGUAUAUUGUUGUGGUUCAAUCCAUAUAAACAAUGAGAUAGUAAAAGUGGAAAGAAACAAACAUAAAUAUUUUACAUAGAAAACCUUCAAAGAAGGAAAAACCACGGGCAAAGGAGGUAUCGGCUUUUCACUAAACGAAUAAACAAACGAUAGUCCAAUAUGAAAAAAAUAAACCUAAAUGUACAAACUAUACAUUGCCUAAAACCCUGAAUACAAAGCUUAAAAUCUCAAAGAGCAAACUGGUAAACAAAACCCUAAAUCUUAUAGGGCAUUCACAAAAGAGGUACAAAAUACUCUCCAUAAUUACCACAAAACCCUCACCAAAACUCAUAUGCCACUGCAUCUUGUAGCCCUCAAAGAAAAACCCUUGUUGAUUGGCCUCUCAAAACAGGGAUACAAUGACCCUUUAAAUAGGCGUAGAUUUGAGUUCUAAUAAUACUAAAAUAUCUCUGGAAUAAUCAGAGUUUAAUUGGGAGAAGCAAUCCUACUUGAAAUCUCAAACACGGCUGCAUAACUUGGAGAAAUCAUCACGACGUCCUAUGCAAGCUUGUUAUGACGUUGCUGUCACGUUCAUUUGGGGUUUCAUCGCGUCAUUACGACAUCAGCUCUAUUUUACAUUUUCUUCGGUAAAUCGUUGAAUGUCUUUGUAACACCCCAUACCUGGUCCAAACGUAUUCUUUUUUCCUUUGCGUUUUCUUAAAUAUUUUUCAUAUUUCCUUUGCAUUUUUUUCCAAAUUUUUUGUAUUAUUUCGUGAUGGUUUUGAGUUAGAAACACACACUUGAUUUAGAUUCGAUAUAGAUUCAAGAACAAAAACUCCUAAGCCUAAAAAUCAUCAAGAAAACUCAUUGAUUAAUACCGAAUAUUAACACCAAAAUGUGGAUUUUGGUAAAACACAUAUCAACAAAUAAUUCCCAAAGUUAACAUUCAAUUCCUUACCCCAAAUCUUGCAAUUAAUUAACAACUACACCCCAAGGGAACCACGUGCUUCACGAGUAUCACCUAACAAAACCAAAUUCCUCCAAAAUUAACACAACCCUUAGCCAUAGAACCAAGUCCAAUUACUUGUUAAGAUCCAACAACUCAAAACUUACAAAAUUUGGGGUGUUACAGUCUUCUUAAGUGCUUAUAGAGUGUCCAAUAAAUGUGAGGCACACCCCACAUAUAUUAUACUGGCAUUCAUCCAAUUAUUAAAAUAAUAUUUGUUAAUUAAAAAAGUUAUAAAUGAUCAUCUAACUAUUCAAAUUUUUUUUCUUUUUUUGUCCCCAACCAUUAAAUUACUAAUGGAAAUUUGACGUAGUUACUUUUAAAAUUAGCAUAAUAACAAUUUUAACCCUCAACAAUUAUACAUUGUGCCAACUUGUCUUGAUUCUAAAAAAUUUUAUAAUAUCAACAUUUACACAUUUUGUAAUUCGAUCAUUUUUGCAUUUUUACUUUUCUUGUGACCCUUUCUGAUGUUGUUCCUACAUUUGAUUCAAUGGAAAAAUGAAUAACAAGAAACAAAAUGACCCAAAUUUUUAAAAAUAGCCAAUUGAUUCAAUUGCUUGAAAAUAAAAAAUAAAAAAUACUCGCUUUGUUAAUUCAACCCAAGUGUAAGUCUAACAACUUAAAAAAAAUAAUUUGUUUCAUUAAUGGUAGUUAGCUCAAGCGAAAAAAAAUGAAUUAAUAUCAAUGAGAGAUACCAAGUUCUUAGUAAUUUGAAGAAUAAGAAAAGCAAUUUAUUUAAGGAUUGUCCAAUUUAAUAAUAAACAGAUUUUUUUUAAAUAUAUAAUUUUUUUUAUUUCUAAUUUACAAAUUAUGUAUCAAAUGAUAUUUUCGUGUAAAAAAUAUGAUAAAAUUAGGUAAUGUGUAAAGAUUGAGGGCUAAUUUUUUUUUAAAUACUAAAUUGGCACGAUGUGUAAAUGUUGAGGGCUAGAUUUGUUUUUAUGCCAAUUUUAAAAACUGCCAUGUUAUCUUUCCAUUAGCCAUUUAACGGUGGGUGACUAAAAAAGUGAAUAGUUGGGUGACUAUUUUGUAACUUUUCAAAGUUGAAUGACCAAAAAAAAAACUUACUCAUAGUUUGGUAACUACCGAUGUCGUUUACCAUAGAAAAAUAGCGGAAUAAACUAAAUUAACCCUAUAUACGUGUUUAGAAUAUUUUUAGAAUAGCGGAAAUAAGAGAUAUUAAAAAAAUAUUACUAAAAUAAUUUUAUAAAUAUACUAAAUUAUGACACACUCACGAUGUGGGUGAAAGAAAUUAUAUAACAAAUAUAUUUAUUAAAAAUUAAUGUUAUAAGCAAAUGAUGUUUUGGUUGAAAUUAAUGUUAUAAAUAUAUUUGUCCAAGUUCAUUCUUAAUAUAAAUUAAUUUUUAUAAAUUUAUAUAUUUUUAAAAAAUAUUUUUUAUUAGGGUUUGUCACAUGUCAUUAUAUGGGAUUGUUACAUGUUGUCUUUCUAUUGGCUGCCAAUUCUACGUCAACAAAUUUUAAUGGAAUUAUUGUGGAGGUACCAAUAUAUGUGGCGGAAUCCAAAUUGUGGUACUAGGUCCAAAAAUAGUCUAGAUACCUAUUAGGUAUAGGUGGACAAGUUCAAUGGCAAAAUACAUAUUAACCCUGUAUUACUAAAUUGAGUAACACCAAAUUAGUUAGCCACUUUUAAUAAUUACAUUAUAGCACCUCAUGAUAUUAUAUAUAUAUAUACUUUAAAGAAUUGUUAUAAAUAACUAAAUGAAUUUUUAGUUGAAAUGGUGAGAUUAAAUUUUAAAAAACCUGAUGUAUUAGAUUCAAGUCUCGUAUAAAGAGUGAAUUUUUAAAAUGUAUUUCAAUUAAAAGAUAAAAUUUAAAUCAAAGUUUGUUAUUUUGUAAAAAGAAUGAGCUUAUAGUCAAUCUCCAACUAAGUCAAUUUAAACUUAUUUUUGGUGUACAUUACAAGCUUACAAAUCGAGGGAGGGGAUGUAAUAGCCAAAACUCGAAUCCAGAUUUGCUCAUUCAAGUUGUUGGAAGAUAAUAGAUAAUCAGAAGAAGAGAAAACAUUAUCGGAUGAAGCAUUUUCAGUAACUAGUGAUGAAAGAUUUUCAAUCACCGGCAUCGUAGGAUUAACAACAGAGGGUCCCAUAACUUUAAGGCUUGAACAGUUUCGGUCACCAGAAGAUGACUAACUUUAAUAUCAUAUCAAGAUACACACUAAACAUAAACAGGGGUGAAGCCAGGGGGCUGGCAUGGGCCCUAGCCCCUCUAAAAUGUAAAAUUAUAUUUUAGGCCUUUAAAAUUUUUUAAAAAUUUUAAAUUAGUAAAUGUAAAAUUGUAUUUUGGUCUCCCUUGAAAUUAUAAAAAUUUAAUAUAAUCCUUUACAAAUUAUAAAUAUAUAAACUAUAAAAAAUUAAAAUUUCAUCCGGACCCCUAAAAAAUUUUUCUGACUUCGCCCUCAACAUAAAUAAAGAAAAAUAUAUGAUAUUAAAAUAUCAUCCUCGUGCAAAGAUGAUUUCUUUACAAUAGUCUCUAUAGCUAUUUGUACGAGAAUAUGUAACUGUUGUACCAAACUCUUAACUCCUUAGCACAAUAACGAGUAGCAAAUAGUUACAACCGAACCAACUUUGACUAACAACUACUCUUGACUAACUGCUACUAACUAUCCUUAACAGGCGCUGAUGGACGCUGGGUGUUGAGCCAUGAAUUUGCUCAAAUUUGAUGGUAAUUGACAGCAUGUGUUAUGCAAUCUUGAUGUAAAAGAAAAAAAACAAGAGAUUUUAAGUACUCAAUGAUAGAAUUUGAUGGUAAUUGACAGCAUUUGUUAUUGUAUUCAACAUUUUUUUUACUUAAUAUAUAUAUAAAAUCGUUCUCGUGAUUGUUCUGAUUUUUAAGAGGAUAUUCAUUCAUAAAAUUAACUCAGUUUUGAGCCUUUAAAAGAGCAAAUGAUAGAUUUUUAUUUGGGUAACUCUUAUUGGACAUAUUAUGUACGUGUAUAGUGUACCAUAAUAAUAAAUUUCAAGUUUUAAUCUUAUGGGUGUUUUAAAAAAUCUUAUAAAAAAAUAUUAUUUGGUUUUUUUCCAUCUUUAAUUUGUUAACAUGUUUGAGAAUUUUUAAGGGUUGAUAAAUAAAUUUGUGAUUAUAUCUGAUUUUUAAAUAGAGUUAGUGGUAAAAGUUAAAGGAUGGGCUGAAAAAGAACAAUUCGAAAAGUAAUAAGAUUAAAUUUGAGCAAAAUUUGUAGAAAUUGACAAAUACAAGGACUAGCCUUAAAAUAUAACCAUAAUUUUCAUCUUGAAAAAAGUUGCUUUCAUCUUCAAUAAAACCAUCAACUUUGCUUCAUUUUUGCAUGAAUCUUUUCUUCUUAUUCCUUACUCUUUUUUAUACACUAAACAUAUAUAUAAUUUAUUUGUAAGUUUAAUUCACCUAAUAUGUUUUCUUAUUUGUUUUUGCUUCAAUAAGUUUUUUUAAGAGAUUUUGGUUGAUUUUUUUAUUUUAAUAAAUUAUCAUGAGUUUUGAGAAAAUAUUUAAGAAACCUUUUUAAUUCUUACUAUUCAUAAAUUAUAAUUUCAUGAUUUUUAAAUUUUUUUGAGAUUGUAGGAACAUUGUACAAUUAAAAUUUCUAUUAAAAAUAUAUAAAAAUAUAAAAAGAAAAUGUACAGAAUGAAUUUGGAUAAAAUGACGUCUAAAUUCAUUUGAAUCUGGAUAUUCAUUCGUUCAGAUUUAUUUUAGACAUGAAAUAAUUAUAUAUUUUUAAUUUUUUUUAUUAGUGCUUGUCACAUGUCAUAAGAUUGUUACAUGUCAUCAUAUUAUUGGAUGACGUUGCCACAUCAUCACAUUCUCACGAUGUUAUAAUAAAGUUAUUAAAGUACGUGACAUGAUCUAAGUUUAGAGUACCACUUAGAUUUUUUUUAAAAAUACCAAUUAAAUAGAAGUGGUGAAGUUUAAGGGGCAAAGUAUACAUCAACCCAAAUAAAAUUAAAAACGUUCAUUUAUUUAUUCUGACAUAAUUAAAUAAAAUGAUUUAAAGUAUUGAUUUAAUAUAUGAACUUUGAUUUGAUAUAAUUAUACAUAUGAAACUUUGAUUUUGAUUCAACUGUACACAUUUAAAUAAGAUAAAUAUAAUUAUUUUUGUAUGUAAUAUGUAAGUGUAAAAUGAUUCUACAUUGAUAAUCGUGUUAGUGAUUUAUAAAAAUUGAAUCAAAUAAAAAUUUCAUAAAAUCAAAGUUUACGUAUAACAUUAUACAUUGAAUCAAAAUUCAUGUAUAAUUUUAAGAUUUGUCUCCUUAAAUAUUCAGAUGACACAAAUUUAACACUAGUUGAACAUGAUUGAUUUUAUUUUCAUUUGACUGUAAUUGUGUCACUAGAUAACAGUCAAAAAAUUCACGUUUUCACUAUAAUAAUAACAACUAACAAUGUUAUAAAUUUGGAUAUACUGAUAACAAGUAGAAGGAUCAAGCUGUAUCAAAUUAAAAAGGAAAAAAAAUUACAUCUUAAAUUUCAUCAUAGUAGAAGGACUAAAACCAUAAUUAGACCAUUAAACAGAAGUAUAGAAAAAAAAAUUAAAGAGGUGGACAAACAGAAACAGAUUGAAGCGAUAUGAUGUGUUUGGGGGACAAAGAAAAGAGCUGCUUUAUUAUUAUUAUUUUUUUAAAAAUUCAUUUUGGAUUGCCGGCUAAAGAACGCGACAUAUAACUUCCUUCCUUCACUGCUUUUCUCUCUCAUACUCUUAUACGCGCUUUUUGUCAGUACUUUAAUACACGUACCAAUCAGAAAACAAGGAUGCUUGUUAGUGGAAGUGAAUGAAAUAUGAACGAUGUGGGACCCCUUUCGGUUCCAAGGGAGUUUUGAUGAUGAUGGUGGCACGCGUGUUGAUAUGUGAUUUUGUAGGAGUGGGACGACAAGGACAGGAUUCUUUUUAACUUGGCUUAAUUUGAUCUUAGUCCUUCUGUUAUGUUAAAAUUAAGAUUUAAUCCGUAUAAUUUAAUUUGGCAUAAUUUCGUAUCUUUAAUUUUAUAAAUUUUAUUAGUAGAUCUAAAUUAAUAGCACUGUUAGUUAUUGUCAUUAAAAUUAUGACAUGAAAUCUUUUAACUGUUAUUUGUUUAUCAAUCAAGGUUGAGUGAAAACAUAAUUAAUCGUGUUUAACAAAUAAUAAAUUUACAUGUCUAUUGAAUGGUUAAAACUGGUUUAAAAUUUUCACAUUAUCACAUUAACGAUAUCAAUUAACUGUACCAUCAAUUUAGUCAUACUAUUAAUACUGUAAAAAUAGGGAGACUAAAUUAUAUGAAAUUAAAAAAGAGGAAUUAAAACUAUAAUUUCAACAUAGUAGAGGGAAUAAAACUAAAAUUGUGUUUUAAAUAAAAAAAUUAGCUAACAUUUUGCUAAUAUUUUAAUUUAAAAAUAUUUGUUUUAUAAAGAGAAGGGAUCGAGAGUGUUCAGGAAACUCGGAGAUUUAACGUGAACCAUGAUUUCUUUUCCAAAAAAAGAAAACCUUAAUUCAUGUAUAUACAUGGUUCAAGAGUUGGACUACUUGUUAAAGUUGAAAGUAAUGCUCGAAAUUUAAGAGGAUUUGGACGAAAAUAUUAAACGCAAAACAUGACAUUGGACAAAAAAAAGUUCAUUUAAAAUAUUCCUCACCUGUCUCGAUGAACAGUAUGGAUGGAAGGUGCUAUUGGAUAUUUUUAGACUCGAACCCAAAAUUUAUUCAUAAAAACGACCAUUUCACAACGUAUUAAUUUUAUUUAAAUCACCACUUGUAUCGUACGUUAAGACAGGUGAAGGGUGUUACACAUUCAAAGGCCCAAUCUCAACCCAACCAGAUAUUUUUUUUAAGUAUGUAAUAUAUUAUUUUAUUAAAAUUUUAAUAAAUGAAUAUAUAUAAAAUUAUUACAUGUUAAAUUAAAAAUAAUAUAAACUUAUUCUUUUGAAUUUAAAAAUAAUAUGUUCAGGCUUAAAACAAUUUAGGUUAACCAUUCAUAAAUAUCGAUAAAUUUAGUCAAAUUUUGAGGUUUAUAUUUUGAAUCUAUAUGAGCUUAAGCACACAUAAACCAUAUUCGGUACUUUUAAUAUAAAAGAGUAAUAUUAUAUUAAAUAAUAGUUUAAUUUCAAAAUAAUGGAUGACUAACAAUCUAAUUGAAUAUAACGAAAAUAUGUUAAUAUCGCACAUAAACCCAAAUCGACCAAUAAACUUCGUAGUUAUCUCAAAUAUUUUAGUUUAUGAUGUGCUCCACCUCAUUGCCACGUCAUCAUCAUAAAGUCAUGUAAUGGCCCAAAUUUGAGGUUAUCGGAACAGUGGUUUCGGAACCACAAAUCCGAUGAGAAAAAUUUUAUUUUUCUUAUAUUUUUAUGGUCUACAAUUUCACAAAAUGAUUUUUUGAAAAUUUCGUUCAAAAAUUUCGACGUUUGGGCACUCAAUUUAGUCAAAAGGACUAAAUUGUAAAAAGUGCAAAAGUUGAGUUCUACAUGUUAGAGGUGUCCAAUUGUUAUGAAACUUUAAAUUGGAGGUCCUUAUAUGGUAAUUAUACCAUUGGUAACUUGGUAGACAAAAAUGGACAUGAGAUAAGUGAAAUAGAAAAUUUUUAAGUUAGGGGCAAUUUGGUAAUCUAGUAAUUAAAAUGAAUUAAAAGGGAAAAAGAUGGCAAAAAUCAUCAUCUUCUUCAUAUGAACGAAAUCAGCAAGGGGGGAAGUCAUAGUUAGGGUUUUCAAGCUUCCAAGCUCCAUAGUAAGUGAUCUCAAGCCCCGUUUUUAAUGUUUUUUACGUUUUUGAGAUCCCGGUAGCUUAAUUUAGCUUAUUCUAGCAAUAAUUUAACCUAGGGUUUAUAUUUGGAAAAAUACCCAUAGGUGAAAAGUGUUUAUUUUGAUGUUUUAUGAUAGAAUAUGAAGCUAGAAAUUAUGUUAAACAACUUUUGCUAAGCGAUUUUAAGUGAAAACGAGUAAAACGACAUAAUCGGUAAAAAUACCUAAUGUUCAUAAGUACAUGUUAGAGUGGGAAUUUGAUGUUGCCAUAGAAGGGAAAAAUGUUCAGAAUGUUAUAAAACAUAAGAAUAAGAGAUGAAGUUUAAUUUCCGAGCCUUGGGGCAAAAAUGUAAUUAUGUAAAAGUUUAGGAGCAAAAUUGUAAUUUUGAAAAAGUUAGAGUCGAGGGCUGUUUUGAUGAAUGUGAUUAUUAAAUAAGUUAAAUUUACUAUUUUAGAUCAAGAAGUACGAAACUCGAGGUUAGACAAAGGGAAGAAUAAAGUUGAAGACUAAGUUGGUGAAUUUGGCUAUAAUUGGUACCGAGGUAAGUUUACGGUAAAUAAAUGCAAUAUUUCAAUAUUUAUUAUUAAUGCUGUUAAUUUCCAGAAAUUAUGAAUUUAUUUUAUGAAUUUAUUUGAUGAUGAUCCAAGCAUGAAAUGAUAGAGAAUUAAAAUUUAAAAGUCCCGUUGAUACAUAAGGAUGGUACUGGAUACGAAUGUCAUGACAUUUGGGUAAAGAGAUCCCAUGUAAGACCAUGUCUGGGACAUGGCAUUGGCAUCCUUAAGAUCAUGAGAGGUCCCCUGUAAGACCAUGUCUGGGACAUGGCAUGGGCACCGAGACGAGAGGUCCCAUGUAAGACCAUGUCUAGGACAUGUCGUUGGCACCGAGAUGAGAGGUCCCCUAUAAGACCAUGUCUGGGACAUGGCAUGGGCACCAUCACGAGAACAUCCCAUGUAAGACCAUGUCUGGGACAUGGCUUUGGCAUGUUAUUAUCAGAAGAGACCCGAGUAUCCUUAUUAUUCCAAUGUAGCUCAACGGGCUUGUAAACGAAUCAUGUUCAUGAAAGUUCAGUUUAAAGCAUAAAUGGCAAGCUCAGGUAAGUUGUAAGACUUAAGAACUUAUUAUACUAUCAAUUGAUGUUCAACGAUGCAGCAAGGAUUGAGUAAGUUAUGCACACAAGUAUUCUAAGUAAACAAGUAAGAGAACUAGUAUGAGAUUAACUAAAGAGUAAACUAGAGAUAUAGACAUUGAGUUUAAUUAUUUAAGUUAAAUAUUGUUAUUUAUUUGCUAGUAAACUUACUAAGCUUUAUGCUUACUUCUUUUAUUUCUCUUUCUCUUAUAGUAUUGCAAAGCUACUUCAAGGAUCCUAAAGAAGUUGGAGAUCGUCCACACUAUCAACUACAACUGCUCGGUAUUUUAUAUCGAAACACGUUUGAGUUAUGGCAUGUAUAGGGAUUUAGUUAUUUUGUAUGUUUGUAAUGAUGAUUUUGCUAAUGAGUGAUGUGUAAGUAUUUGAUGAUGUAUGGUUAUUAAAAUGAUUAAGGAUGAAGGUGUUUGUUGUUAUGAAAGAUUAGGUGAUAAAUUAUGCAUGGAAAUCAUGAAAGGAUAAAAUUUUGCAAAGAAACAGAAUUCAGGCAGCACAGUGACGUGAAUUUGAAAAAUCACCCAAGAUAGUAUAAAAUGAAUUAGAGGGUGAAUGAUAUAUGGAAUUAAAGCUUGUUGAGUCUAUUUUCAUGGAAAAAUAACGGUGUAGAAAAAGGAUAUUUAUAUUUUAAGAUAUGUGAAUUUUAGUAAGAUAGGGUCAGAACUGUUUUUGGAGUCCCCUGUUCCGAGUUUAGAAAAUAAUUACAAAUUGUACAAAAAUGGUUAUGAGUUGAAAUUUACAUGCUUAGAUUUCUUAAUGAGUCUAUUUUCUGUAGAAACAAGUAAGAACUUCAUAUGAAAAUCCUACAGUGAGAAAACUUAUUUUUAGUGACUAGAGGUCAGGGCAGUCAGGUGGUGAAAAAGGGGAGACUUUAACUAAUAAAAUGUACUAAUUUGCUGAACCAAAAAUUCUAAAAAUUUUAUGGUGAGUAGAUAUAUGAGUCUAGUUUCAGGGAAAAUUUACGGAAUUAAAUUUUGAGUUCUGUAGCUCAAGUUAUAAUUAAUUUAGUAACUGCUGCGCGAUUGGACAGAUUUGCUGCGAAUAAUGAAAUAAAUUUUCAAACCUAGUUUUUAUGCUCCGAAUUGGUAAGAUAAGCUAAGUAAUGCCUCGUGCUCGACUCCGGAAACGGUCUCGGGUAAGGGGUGUUACAAGUCAUGUAACUAAACCAAUAUAUAUAUGUGGUCAAUUAAGUCUUAGUUCGUCUAGCAUCGACAUUAUUGUUAAUAUAGGACAAUAUGGAUUUGAGCAUAUUGAAACAUGUUUAUACUCUUAUUUAAGGGUUAAAUAUAUAUAAAUAUAUAUUAAGUUUUUAAGUACAAACUAAAAAAAAUAUUUUUAUUUGCUUCAAAACAAAAUAAAACAAUUAAAUUAAUUUUGGGUUGGGUCAGAUCUCUUAUUAAAUUUCAGGUUCGAGUUCGAGACAAAUUUUUUUUUUAAGAGUUGGAGUCAAGUCAAGGUCGAGGUAAAUUCAUCAAGGUUCGGGUUGGAGUCGGGUUGGGCAAAAAUCCGCCCUGUCUUGCCCGUUGCCAUCCCUAAAUAACCCAAAUUAAGGAAACUCACAUUAUAGGAUUUUAAUAACAUGUUAUUUUAAUAACAAAUAAACAAAGUAACAUGUGAAUAAAACAAAGUAACAAAUAACAAACUACUAAUGUUGAAUUUGAAUGAUAUAAGAAGAGCUUUGACUGCAUCUAUUUAUAGGUAAAAAAAAAUCAUAUUCUAAUCAAUGUUAAAUAGAAGCAGUAUAGUAAGGUUGUGAUAUCAAAUAGAAGAAUUGUACUUCUAUACGAAUUCCACAUGUGCAGCUUGUAUCGUAUCCACAGAUCCCCUAUUUUACCACUAUUUUAUCUGCUAAUGAUGAAUAAUGUAUUAACAAAUUAAAACAAAUCUAAUAGAAGCAUACCUCCACAAUUUUUCAUUAUAAUCUUAAUCAUGUUAGGUUGGAGUCUCAACUUAUGUAAAAAUGUGUAGUUUUAAUUAAUUAAUUGAUUUAAUUAUUAACUUAAUAUUUCAAUUAAAUAUUUAUAAUAAUCGAAAAAAAUAGUCAAAUUUCAUGGUAGUCUUAAUCAUUGCUUGAAGAAAUAAAGGAUGAAUUGCAUUGAGGAAGUAUAAUAACUAACCUUUACACCUUCAUUUAAAAUAUUUGAAAAAAAAAUCUAAAAUGAUAAAUAGAUUACAAAUUAAUGCGUGGUUUUGUACCCACCACUGUAAUAUAGAAAGUGAAUUAAAAACUUAAUUUAAACUAAAUAGGAUUAAUUCACUUUAAUGAACUUUUUACUAUAAUUAGGAUGUGAGUGAAAAAAUCUAUAAAAAAAAGUUGAUAGUAAAAUUGAGAAGUUGAAUAUUACGGUUUAAAUAUGAUUGUAUGUAUGUAUUUUUUUUUUAGAUUUUAUAUAAAAGUAUAAACAAACGAAAAUAUCCUCUAAAUGAUAUUUUUUUUGUUUUGUAAAAAUAAUGAAGUUUUGGUAAUUUUACAACUAAGUUUUCUAUUGGAUGACACUAAAUUAAAAAUGAUAAAAAAUUAUUAUUUUUCAUUUGCAAAUCAACUACAAACAAAAUAUUUCAUUUGUAGAACUAUUGAGGUUGAAAAAGUUCUCGGACCACAACAAUGAGAGCAUUGUUUCUCAAGUGUGAAGGGAUAUUGGUGAGCCAAGGCGAAAUGUUUUCAAAGAUGACCUUAGAUGGCAACAACGUUCCAGAUGAUUCUGGAUGAGGUGUCAGGACGACGUGUGAACUUUAAGAGAUGAUCUCGAGAUGGUUACAAAUGGGAUGAGGAGCUAUGGGAGAGCUUCAAGAUGAUUCGAUGGGUGAUCUUGUUGCUAAGGUCCUUCCUGAGGUAGUGAAUCAUCAGAGAUAGCCUUGGAGAUGAUUGAGUGAGAUGAUUCUGAUGUGACUUAGCCUCCCGACAGAGUAGAUCACUAAGUUAGUCCUUGAUGAGAUCAUGAAAGAUUUCCAUGAUCUCAUAGGAGAUGAUCAAUUGAGAUGACCAUAGGAGAUAAUCAAGUGAGAUGAUCCUGACGAGGUUUGGCCCUUUGGUGUAUUAUUUAUUAUGUCAAAUACAGAAAAAAAGAAAGAGAUAUGCGAUAGGAUUAUAUAAUAAAUAUUGUUUAUUUAGUUUCCAUUUUCCAAGAGAGCUUGGAAAGUAAAAAAAGAAGGUUUGAAUGUAAUUUGUCCAAGUUCAAACUUUUUUAAAAAAUAUUUAUUAUAUAUGGUUGAAUCGGCUUACAACCUAUUGAAUAAGCGGACAAAAAAUUACUGAUUUGGUCGAUUUAACUAAUAGUUUGAUCUUGAAAACCAUGCCCAACAUAGCAAAUCAACUAACUUGUCCUCUAGAUAUGAUCUCAACAUGGCUAGGCUUCCCUUGGGGUAGCAAAUCCACUAAGCUAGCCUAUGGAGAUUAUCUCAACGUGGCUAGACUUUUCCCAGCAUAGAGGAUCAACUAACUUGGCUUCUAAUGAUGAUGUCAACGUGGCUAGGCUUCUCCCAGCGUAGCGGAUCGACUAAGUUAGACUCUCGGGAGAUGAUCAGGUUGAUCUCAGACUAUGGAGACUUCAAGGACGUCUGUAGAGAAAGGGAUAAUGUUAGCGGGCACCAGAGGACUUCCGAGGCAUACUCCAACUCAACUCAAUGAUCAGGUAUAACUUAAUGCAAGAAAAGAAGUUUUGAAAAAGAGGGGUAGAAGAUGCUUUUCAAUUGCUAUGUAGUGAAGUAUGACUGGUCUUUCUGUGAAUGGCAGUGAAUCCUUCCAUUUAUAGCCAAUGGUGUAGUAACUUGGUGCCAUGUGACGUUUCAUCAUUAGCUUGGUGUUGAGGUAUCUUUCUGAGGUGCAUUGAACCUUUGUCAAGUGGUUUUGCAAGUGGGAACCAGGUCUUAGAGGGUCUUCCGUUUGGGGCCUUGCCUUGGGCCUCGCCCAAGGCUUGUCUUGGUGAGCUUUCGUUGGAUUAGCCAUGUUGGGUGCUUUCGAGAUCAUCUUGAGGGUUUUGGUUGUCCGUUACCUUCUGUUAUCAACUUUUAUUUUCAUCCCAACAGGAACCAUAAAAUAUUUAAAGAUAUCAACUUUGUUAAAUAGUAGAUGAAAUUUUUUAAAUUGUAAAUGUUAAUUAUGUUAAAAUUUUACUUUAUUUGAUUUUUUUAAAAAAUACUUGGAUUAAAUUAAUUCAGUUAAUUGUAAAGGGACUAAUUUGAUAAAGAUCUUAUAAUAGAGGAACAUGUCAAGUAAUUUCAACCAUGUAUAUUAUAUUUUAAUUUUGAUUGAGUUGAUCCAAUCACCAAUUCAAUUAAUAUAUGACUAAAAAAUCUUUCAUUUUUAAAAAGUUACAAAAUUUAAUAUAAGAGCGAUUUUAUUUUAUUUUUUUAUAUUUUUAUAUAAAAUUAAUAAAAAAAAUGUUUAAACCCAAUAUAGGAUUCGACAUGAAACUCCAAUAUUUUCAAGGAAUUAAAUUUUCCAUUUAAACUAAAAUUUCAUUUGAUUUUAACAUCAAAAUUUUAAAUAAAAUAUAGUUUUUGUGUAUUUUUUUUUCACACUGUACAUGUCAUAAUAUAGUAUAUCUAUACUAUAAUAAAAAUCCUAAUUGAGUUAAUGUUAUAAAUUAAUUGGGUACUAACUUAGUUAAAAAUGACUAAAUUACCUUUUUUAAACAAAUAAAAAUAUAAUUAUAGGUGCAUUUAUGUCUUUUAAUAAUUUAUACAAAAAUUUUAAAAGAAAUAUUUUAAAAUAAAUUAUCAAAGUUUGAACUUGAAAUACUCCACGAGGUGUUAUGUAUUAUUUAUUUAUACUAUAAUUAAGCUCUUGAUUGAAUUGGUGUCAAGCCAACAAGAUACCAAUUCAGUUAGGAAAUGAUUAAAGGAUACAUCAUUUUUUACAAAAUGAUAAAUGUAACUACGAGGGCGUUCUAUUUUUUUUAUAUAUUAAAUAAAACAAAAAAUAAUUAUCCAUACAUGAUAGGAUUUAAACAUGAGGAUCAUAGAAUUCAAAGCUUUAAUCGUACCAUUUUGAUUUUCGACUAAAACCAUAUUUGGUUUUUAAUAUAAAUUUCUUAUAGAUAUUUUAUAUAUAUAUACAUGAUGGUAUUAAAAGCAUGCAUGAACCUUGAAUUUAACAUCUUUUAACUCUUAACCAACCUUUAUUUUUUUUCUUACAUAAAUGUUCAUAUCUUUCACUCAAAUUUGGAUUAUAUUGUGACACAUUAUACUUUUAAAGCCUAAAAUGCAACCCCAUUUCCUCAAAAUUGGACCAUAUUGUGGCACAUUAUGCUUUUGAAGUCUAAAAUGCAACCCCAUCUCCUCAAGAUUGGACCAUGAUGGCCUUGAAUUUUGAGAGAAGCAAGACAAAGGAGUCACCAAUAGAAGUUGAGUUUCAAUUAACAAUUAAGCAGCUACCUUUCCAACUUAUAAGAGUCGAGAUAUGUUAAUUAUUAUUUUUUACACUAAAAAUUUAAAAGUUAAAAUAUGCUCCAAAUUCUUAUAUUCUCUGUAUAUUUGAAAAUUAAUCUCCAUAUCUUUGUUUUCAAAAUUUUAGUCCUUUUAUUUUUCAGAUUUAAAAUUCAAGUCCAGUUAUUAGAACCAUUAAAAUUCAUAUGUUAGAUUCACUAUUAUGACAUAUUGAUAUUGCAAAAAAAAAAACAAAAAAAAAACUAAUUAACUUAAUAGCCAUGUCAUUGUACUACUAAGAUUUAAUAGAGAAUUUUAAUGAUGUUUACAAUAUUUAAAAUAUUCACGCUAAUAUUUUAAUCAAAAUAAAGUAUUUAGGUUAACUAAAGACAUUAUAAAAAGUUGAUAUACCAAAUUAUGUUAAAAAUUAAAGCAUAGAGGUAAAACUUUAAAUUUGAUCAUAAUAUAGGGAUCAAAACUAAAAUUUGACCAUUGCUAUAAAAUCUUAAAAAUAAAAAUAAAAAGAAUGUGUAUUUAUACCAUGAUAUUAUAAUAGUUGAAGUUUUGGAUUAUGCCAAAAAUUAAAAUAUAAAUUUCAAUUUUAUACAUAACAUAAGGACCAAAAUUAAAAUAUGGGUUAAAAUUGCCUUUGGUUUGUUGGAAAAUUACCAACACAAAGAUGGAAAAGCUAAUAAAGAAUCUUGCAUUAAUAAACAUCCCCAAAUUGAAGCAAUUAUUACAAAGUUCUUAGUGACUAGAAAUUUUUGAGUUAUUUAAGAAAGGCAAAAUUUACUAACAAUUCCUUACUUGAAAAGCUAAUUGAAAUAUCAGAUUUUGGAGGAACAUAUCAAAAAUAUUCACCACAAGUUGCUUCUAUUUCAGUCCCUAUAAGCAUCUUCCUCCAUACCCUGCAUUUCUAAAUAAUGCUUGCUUUAUAUCUUCACAACUUAUUAAUGUUCUCUGUUCCAAAUCCUGCAAUGUUAACCAAAAAAAGGUAAUUAAGAUUGCAAAUUUAAAAGUUAUGGAACAAAAAUGGUAAAAGUACUAUGGAAGACCUUGUAUUAGGAGUUAGAUCACAUUUUACUCUUUAUAUUAAAAAAAUAUACUAUUAGUCAUUGGACGUUAAAUCGAAGAGUAAACUAAUCAUUUUCUUAAAAAAUCUAUCCAUUAAUAUGGUUGAAAAUCCUCAAAAAAUAUUUUAUAAUUAUUUUAAAAUCACAUCUAAAAUGAAACAAGACAAACACUAGAAAUAAGUAGAAUUUUUAACAGAAUGACUAAGUUACUCUUUGAUUUAAUCAUUUGCACUAAUUUACCUAAUUUGUGAGUUGAUGAACAAACUGCAUUAAUCCUUGUAUUAAUGAUCAAAUUGCAUUUUUCUCUAUCUACUUAAAAUAAUGAGCAAGUUAAUCCAUGUAUGUUAGAUUAAAGAGUAAACUGAUUUUUUUAAAAAUGGCAUAAAUGUAAAUAAUGGACUAUCAUUUGUCAAAAUUCAUUUGACAUAGGGUUUUAAAUAGUGCUUCACAGUAAAAAAAAAUAGAUAGAAUUUUUAAUAAAAGGAUCUGUUUAUAUUUUAAUAUGAUGUACAAAGAUUAAUUUAUCUAAUUUUUAGUUAGAUAAUAAAAUAUAAAUCUUACUACUAAUACAAUUACCUACAUGAUAUUUUUACCGGAGAGAAAUAGUAAUAAAAUUUAUUUCCUUUUACCUGAGAACAAGAUGCUUGCAAUGCAAAAUCAUUGAAACAGCUAAUAACACACUGUUGAAUCUCAAGGCCUAAUGCUUCCAGUGUUGUCACUGUGGAUAACAACAACCCUGGUUUCCCACUGCAACAAAUCUCAAUCCUUGUCUCCCCUUCUCUUCUUUCCACCUCAAACUGCACCCAAAACAUGUUCAUCACUUCAUUUCAAGAUUUGGGUAUUAGAGAAAAUGGUGCAUUUUUAACCAAAAAAAUAAAAUAAAAAGAGCCAAUUACCUUUGGUGUAUUUCUCACAAAGAUCUCAUUUGAUUUCCCACCCUUGAAAAUGUGAGCCAUGUUUAACUCAUUUGAAUCUGUUUCAAUCUCUUGCUGCAAACUUUUAAUCCUCUCCAAUAGCUCCUUUGUAUAAUCUAUAGUAUCUCCAAGUAUAGAUGUUCUAUCCAUCUAUUAAGAAAAAACCCAAAUUAGUCCGAGAAUUUAUUCACACAUUUAUACAGGACGGGACUCGAAUUCUUUCACCUUGCUGAUCUUGGGAACAAUUGAUCUUAACAUGGAAAGGCGAUCAUUUAGUCUCUUUCUUCUCCUUCUUUCAGCCAUUAGAUUCUUUGAAGGUUGUUGUCCUUCCAUCUUCUUACCUCGGUUCUUCCUGUCUAAACAAGCAGCUGCCUCAUUGUUGAAAACUGGUGCUUCUGGUGAUUGAAAUGGCUCAGCUUUGCAAGGGACUUGAACAUCUAGCUUGUUAAGUUCAUCAGCAAGGAAACCAGAUUCUUCUUCUUCCAACAUAUUUGGAAAUGGAGGUGGUGUAUCAAAGGUGUUGUUUGAUGAAUCUGUGAGUUGUGGUGCUGAGAAUUCAUCGCCAAACGGGCAGUAAACUCCAUUGAAGUAACCCAAGUCUUGUUCCAAAGGCAAAGCUGUUGAGAAUUCAUGGCAGAAAGUAGUUGGAAACAAACUAGUUGAAAGGUUCAUAUCAUCAAAGCAAUCAAAGUUCCAUCCAUUAGAGAAAACUUCAUUCAUUUGUGUUGGAACUGUGUCCCAAUUUUCUCUUCUUAGAGCUAAUAAUUCCUCUAAGAAACUUUCUUCAUUGAUCUCCAUUUUUGCUUUUUCUCUCACUUUGGGAAUCGUGUCUAUUAUUAGGAGAUGCCUUGAGAAAAAGAAAGUCUCAACAAGUUGAGGAUUUUAUAGCUACAUAGAUUGAAAGUGGGGGAGUAUGAUAUAUCCAAUUUAUAUGAUUAUAGUAUGAUAUUUGUUGUAUUUAUUAGCCUAAGAGUGAAAUGGAAUCUGCCUUUUCCUUUCUUUGUAUGGGGUGAUUUCAUGUCUUUUUCACCGAAAUCUCUCCAAUAAUAAUGAUAUUAAAACCUAAUAUUUAAUUGGUAAUCCAUCUGAAACUUUGACCACAUUGUAUACAUGUAUCCGUCAGAAGUGAACAGCACCUUUCAAGUUCUUUCUACACGUGGGUUACCAUGUCAACAUUAUUAUAUAUAAUAUUAUUAAUCUACAAAUAAAUUUUUAAUAAUAUUAAUAAUUAUUUAAAUUAUAACAUAACAUUAAUAAUAAUAAAACCCAAUUAUAUGAAAUUAAAGUAUAAAUACUAAAGCGAAAAAAAGAAUGAUUAGUGGGGUCCCAUUUCCUUUGCCUCAAGAAAUUUGGCUUAAUCCACAAAUUCAAAGUUAGUUGUUAUGGCGUGUUUUGUUUCUUCUCAUCACUAAUUUUGGUAUUAUCUGCCCCAUUGGUUCUUUAUUAUAACAUAAUUAGCUAUAAAUCUGCCAUGUUUCUUGUUUUAUAAAAAAGGAAUGGGGACGUCUAUCCCAUUCUCAUCUCACCUGGUUUAACAAAUAUGAUAAGAAAGCUGAGGCCAAUAUAUAAACUGCAAGUGAACUGUUUGUUAAAGGGAUUGUUUUGGCUGAUGCAUAUGACUUUUAAUCAGUGCAUGAAUAAUAUGUAGACUCCACUAGUCAAUAGUGAUCUAUAGUCAUUAAUUAACUAUGUCUAGUGUUUAUAUUAGGCUGAUCUGGUUCACAAGGCUUGGCAUUUAUAUGCUUGUCUCCUCCUCUCCUCCUUUUCCAUUUCAUUUCCUGUCUUUUUGCCUCCUUAAUUUAGUCAACAGUUCCAUUUGUUUUUAAUAUAAUUUAACUUAACAUUUAAUCCAAUUUUUGUGGUUGUUUGUUGUGGAAGGGAGAUCAAUUUUGUUUGGAGAAGUCUGCAAACUGUUGUUUAUUGAGAUUUGUCUUCCAACUUUGUGAGUGCUUACAGAGGCGUCUUGACGAGGUGACAAGUUACAAAGUAAGAGUGCCUUGUCGAAAGCCUAAUAAGGUGAACCAUGCACAACACUAUAGGGCAUAGCUUCGAGUCCAACCAUGCAAAAUGCACAUGGUUUGCCUUAUUAGGCACCCGAUGAGGCGCUCCUACUCUAUGAAACUGUUGUGUUUCAAGUUACCUCUUCAAGCACUCAUAGAGCCAAGAAACAAAAAUCCCUCGCUGAGGACAAUAUUGACCUUUUGAGGGAUUCACUGACUCCUAUCGGGCGAUACUUCAUUGACUUUUUCUGAUAGAGUGUACUUCCCCUCUAUAUUUUAAAAAAAUUGAUAUCCGAUAAAUUUGAAGUUAAAAAAAGUGUAUCAUUAGUCAAUUAGGAAUAUAUUAUCUCUCUAGAAUUGAGAGCGUCUCUCUAUAGAGUUUUUUUUCUCAUUGUGAGAAGCAGUUAGAAGGUUGUUUUUUUUGUAUUGGGUAAUUCUAUUCUGAUUGCUUAGAGUUUUUUGCUUGAGUUUUAGGGUUAUUUCAGAGAUAAGAUAGGGGUGAAUGUGUAAGUUUUUUUUUAGGAUUUUUGUUUCACUAUUUAUUCAUUGUGUGGUUGAGUCAAGUUUGGUUUUUGAAUUUCUUUUUUGAGUCUUUUUCUUUUUCUUUUUCAAGUUCUAUUUUGAUAUUUUCUUGGAAUUAUUGUUUUUUAGAUCUACUAUUGACAAAGGGGAUAGAAAGGGAGCACUUUACUAUCCUCUAUCAAUUUGGGAAUCAAAUUAAAUCUUGAGGGAGGGAAUAGUUGUGGGAAUCGAAUUGGAACUAUUGGAUAAGGUGAUGUAGGAACUUGAUUUUUCAAAGGUAAGCAUAUGGAUUCAAAUCCAUAAUUUACCUUUAAAAACAUUAAUUGUGUAUAAUGUUGUUUUGAUUGGGGUAAGUAGGGAUUUGGUUAGGAUUGAUGGUGAUAUGUGGGGGGAAGGAUUGGGUAGAAAUUUUCUUAGAAUUCAAGUAGAUUUAAAUGUGAAUGAACCUCUAAUUCUAGGUUUCAAGUUCUCAGGAAGGGGAAUAAAAUGGUAUAGGUUUUGUAACACCCGUAACCCGUCUCCGUCACUGUAUUAGGGAUACCCGUCACCAGGCUGUGUGACUUUUGCUUUUCAAAUUUUGCAACUUUUUCUUAAACUUUCUGUUUUGUUUCAAAUUAGUCCCGAAUUACUUCUAAACUAUUUUUAGGGCCUUGAAGGCUCAAUUUAUGAAUAAAGUGCAUGUGAAUGAAUGAUUUAUCAUAUGUUUAAUUUAUUUAAAUAUUAUAAUGUUAAAUGUUUUUUAUUGUACGGUAAUGCUCUGUAACCUUAAUUCGACGAUAGAGACGAGUUAAAGGUGUUACAUUUAGUAGUAUCAGAGCUACGAUUUAUCUCAAUAUUUCACAUGUUCACAUGUUGUUAGUGUAGUAAGUAGAUACAUGGCCAAACCCGAAAAAUUACACUAGCAAGCUAUUAAGUGGAUUCUAAGAUAUUUGAGGGGGACAUCUAACACUUGUUUAGAACUUGAAAGAUGUUCAGAAAGUCUAGUCGGCUAUGUAGAUUAGGAUUAUGCCGGAGACUUAGACAAAAUGAGAUCUCUAACAAGUUAUUUCUUCACUUUUGUUAAUUGCACGAUUAGCUGGAAAGCCACCCUUUAGGCCAUUGUGACAUUAUUAACUACAGAGACAGAAUAUAUGGCUAUCACAAAAGGUUGUGAAAGAGGCCAUUUGGUUGAGAGGUCUAUUUAGGGAGCUGGUUGAUAAAAAUGACAAGACUAUUGCAUAUUGCGAUAGUUAAAGUACCAUCAAUCUCACUAAAGAUCAAAUGAAUCACGAAAGAAUAAAGCACAUAGACAUUCGAUAUCACUUUGUUCAGGAAGUGAUCGCUCAAGGAGAUGUUCAGAUGCACAAAAACGGCAUAGAAAACAACCUAACAGACAUGAUGACAAAAAGUCUUCCAAUUUCCAAGUUUAGGCAUUGCUUAGACUUGGUAAGCAUUCGAAAGAGAUGAGUUAGACCCCUGACGGGGCUCGACAAAGAAGGUGUUUUAGAAAUACGAGUCAAGGUAGAAAUAUGUGGAGUGUGCCUCGUAUUUGUGAUGAAACAGACAGUGGCGUCGUAACGAGAAAGAGUUGACGUCACAAUGACACGUCAACGACAUCUCGAUGAGAAAAGUCGCCUUGUCCAUGAUGACAUGAAGAAUGACAUCCUGACGAGGCAAUAUGCUAUGUCACAAUGUGUACUCAACUUAAUCGGGCUUCUUCUCAUCGUUAAGUACUGCUAUCUUUUCCUAAUCAAACUCUAAUCACUCUGGGAUAUUUCUAAUCAAAUUAGUCAUGAAUUUUAGUCUAUAAAUAGGCUUUUAGCAAUCCUCGAGGAUUUGAUUGAAAUUAAGAGAGAGUUUGUGGGAAUUUCAAGAAAACAUUGUAUUUUAGGUUCUGGGUUUGUUUAUUUCUCCAUCUUGUACUCUCUUUUUAGUUUUUUUCUAUUUUAGUGAAGCUUUUCUUUGCUCGUGGUUUUUUAUACUCUUCGAAAGGGUUUUUCAACGAAAAUAUUUAUGUUAGACUUUUAUUGUUUUUCGUUCUUAUUCGUUGCAUAAUUUGGGUUUAACCCAACAUGUUGUCUGUAGUUUGUAAAAAUUGAAUCAAAUUAAAAUUUUUUGGAUAAAAUUGCACAAAAUCAAAAUUCAUCUAUGACAUUGCACAUUGGACCAAAGUUUAUAUAUAAAUUUGAUAUUUAUUCCUUUUAAAGUAAAAUGAUUGAUUAAUUUCAAAAUUGGUUUAUAAAAUUUCUUAAAAAUUAAUAUUUAAUAAAUUUAAAAAUUAAAAUCAAGCUCCUCCAUUAAGAAAAGGGUUAUUAACAUUUCUAUUUUGGUCACCUAAUUAUGAAAGUUUUCAAUUUAGUUAUUAACGUUUUAGAUAAUUUUUAUUUAGGUCACUCACGUUUUAGAUCAUUUCCAUUUCGGUUGUCGAAACCAUUUUUAAAUCGAAUUUUGGAAAAUGAGAAUCGACUUUAAGAAAAACGAAAAUGGGAGUCGCCACCAAUCUUUUUAGGUAUGAUUGGAUCACCUUUAAAAUAUUUUGUUUUAAAAUCAUUAGUUUUGGUCUACGAAAUCAGAAGAUGGGUUCGGGAGCCGGUUACGUACGAGGAAGGGUUAGCACCCUCGUAACGCCCAAAAAUUGGUACCUAAUUGAUUAUCAAGUGUCUUUAAUGUCAGAAAUUUAAAAUUUUUAAGAUGUAAUCCUCUUUAAAAUAUUUUUAUUUUUUGUAAAUUGGAGUUCACCCGUAUCAAAGUAUUGACACUAAGUUAGCUUUUUAGAAAUCCCUAUCUCGAAACAACAAAACGUUACAUCCAGUAAGUUAGGACAUAUUGCUUUGCAAUUCCAAGACAGUUGCUCACAUUUUGAAAAACCUUGAAAAACUUAGAAAGUACUUGAUUAUUCGAACUCAACGAGAAAAGUCGCAACCCAAUAAGUUAGGGCACUACUUUCUUGAAAUUUCCCAACACCAAGCAUUGCCUUUAUAUUUUUGAAAACUUUGGAGCCUUGUUUUUUAAAAAUGAUGCGUGGGGAAUCGUAUUGUAUUAUAAAUCAUGCAUAGUAACAUAUUAUUGUAGUAGGUAAAUAAUACAUGCAUUUAAACAAAAUGAUGGCAAUAAUAUAAAGAUCGUGCAUUAGAUACAUAUAUAUAAAAAUAAUAUAUAUAUAGCAAAUAUUAACAAUAUGCAUACAAAGAUAUAUAUAUAGCAUGUAUUAGGAAUGAAUAAACAAAAUAUACAAACAUACAAAGUAAUAAUUAAAUAAUGCAUGAUAUACAAAAAGGUAAUAAUUAAAUAAUGCAUGACAUACAAAAAAAGAGUAAUACAAUAUCAAUGUACAUGUUCAUGAAAUGUAAUAUCAAAUAAUAAAUAUAAAAUAACAUAUAACACAUGACAUAUGCAAAAAAAAAUGAAAUGAGUUAUUGUUAACAAAAUAUACAUAUAAUACAAAUAAAGACAUCAUAUUUAAUAAUAAUCUUAAAAUAGUAGUUGCUAUACAAUAUAUAAAACAUAAUAACAAAAUAUUUAUAAAAGAACAAUAAUUAUAUAUAAACUAUAUUGGGUUUAAAAAAUAUAUAAAAUAAAAGUAUGUAAAAGAAUUUAUAAAAUAACACUUAACAUGAAAAUAUCAUUUUAAAAUAAUGUAUAAUAAAUAAAUAACUAAUAAUUUAAUAUGUGUAUAAUAUGAGUUAAAAAUAUAAUUUAAUUUAAAAUUUUAAAAAUUUUAAAUAAUAUAAUGAAUAAUAUAAACAUAAAUAAUAUAAUAGAUAAUAUAUGAUAUAUAUGACAUAUAAAAAAAUAAGUAAUAUAGAAUAAAAAUAAAAAUAAAUAAAUGUUAUAUAAUAAAAUAUAAUUUAAAUAUAUAAGAAAUAAGAAAUAUAAUAGAUAUAAUAUAAAAUAAUGAAAAUAUAUAUGUAAGAACAAUAUAUAUAAAUAAUUAAUAAAUAUAUAAUACAAGUAAAAUAUAAUAAUAAUAUAAAAAUAAUGAUGUAAAAUAAUAAUAAUAAUUUGUGAAAAAAAUAAUAUAUAAUAAAUAAUAAUAAUAUAUAUAAUAAAAUAAUCUUAUAAUGUAUAAUAUAAAAGUAAGGUAAAAAAAAUAAAACAAAUAACAAUAUAUAAAUAUAUAUAUAAUAAAAAUAAAUAUAGGGCUAAAUUUCAAGUUCAGCAAAAUUACGGGGCGAAUUUAAAAGAAAUAAAACUGAAUUAAGGCCUUAAUUAAAACGCGCGUAAAACAAAAGGGACUCAUUGGGCAAAUUGCCCUAUUCCCAAUAAGGCGACGUUUCCCAGAAUGUAAUUGAAUAACCGUUGGGACUAAAUUGAAACAAUUGUAAAAUAUGAGGGCCAAAUUAAAAAAUAGAAUAACACGUAAUUAUAAAUUAAAAGAGGUGGAAGGACCGAUUGGGUAAUUAACCCAAUUCUAAAAAUCACGCGAAUCCUCCCCGGGUAAUCGGGUCAACGCGCGAAUCCCAUGGCUUAAUACAAUACCGUUUUGAGCUUAUUAAGUUAAGCAGAAACGAUGUCGUUUCAAGGAGGCUAUAUAAGCCAAUUUUGCAGCUUAAAAAUCAUUUUAACAUCAGUCUUAAAAAAAGGUCUUGAAAUGCUCUACAGAAGGGAAGAGAGAGGUCCCCAGCUCUGGCCUCCGGCCACGGUGCAGUGCUUGCACACGCGCCUCACACGCCGUCGUACACGGUGGUCUGAAGGCUUAAAAACCCUCGUCCUUCCACAAGUAAUCUCUUUUCCCUUAAAUCCUUACUCGUACAUGCUAGAACAGUUCAUAUAUGUACAAAAUAAAGCACGAGAUAUGCGAUUAAAUCACUUUUUGAGAGACUGUUGGUAUUUCCUUAAACGAAUCUGUGUAAGUAUAUUUCUUUCUUCGUAAAAAAAAGGUCCCUUUACACUGUUUUGAUUCGGGCUUUUAUAGCCACUACUGUUAUUACAUAAACUGGGAAAGAAAUCGAAGAUUUCUUUCUAUUUCUUGUCUGCUGUAUCCCCCAUAUCUUUGAUUGUGAUCUGCUGAAAUCUUUUUAUUUUAGUUUCCUUUUUUGUUUUUUCGUAUCUGCUGUGUUUCCUUUUCUUUUGCAGGCACUUACGAGAAAUCUGGUGGUGACGAGGGCUAGUGUCGAUUCGCGCGUUGAUUUCGGAGGCAGAGUCACGGCGCUGAUGGGGGGUCACUGGAACGACAUGAGAGAUGAGCAGACGCGUCCGUUGAGAUGGCUUCUGGAAUCUUCCAUUUGCGGCGCGAGGAGAAAGAGCUAGGGUUAGAAACCCUAGCUGGUAACUUAAGUUUUAGGCCUCUGCUAUUUGGGUCUGAUUUAGGUUUGGGCUUCGGGUGUAUUUGGGUUGAGGUUGUAACUGUAAUGGGUUAAGGGUGUAAACGGGUUAAGGGAUAGUUUUAGGCCUGCUAGGUAGUAACCGGUCUGUUUGGUUAUAACGGGCCUGAAGUAUUUGGGCCAAAAGGGUUUGAGCUAAAGGGUAUUGGGUUAGUUUAGGGUCUGUUGGGCUGGUUAUUUUAUUUGGUUUUGUAACCUGGAUUGUUUAUAUUUUAAUGGACUUUAAUAAAUAAAUAUUUAUUUAUUUAUUAUUUUGCUUUUGGGUUUUAAAGCCCGGUUAAAUUUGGGCUACUACAUCGGUCACUCUCCGUUAAAUGGUUAACAGAAAUGAUGAUGUGACAUUUUUCUAAUUGAUAUAAUAACAUAUUUAGUGUUAAGUACUUACACAUUCUAUCAAUUUAAUUCUAAUUCUAAAUAAUUCAACAAAUUUAACCCUCGACAUUUACGAAUUCUAUCAAUUUGAUCCUAAAAAAUAUUUCAUAAAAAUCUAAAUAAAUAAUUAUAUUAAUUUAAAUAAAAUCUAAUUAAAAAUUUAUAUUAUAUUACUCUCUCUCUGUGGGGGAAGGUUUCGGAGGGAGAGGAAAUUUUUUAUAUUUUAUUUAAUAUUAAUAUAAUAAAAACUUUUAAUUAGACUAUGUAAAUAUUAAUAUAAUUUUUUAUUUAAUUAGAUUUUAAUGACAUGUAUUUGAGGAUCAAAUUGAUUGAAUGUAUAAGUAUUAAGAACUAAAUGUAUUAUUUUACCAGUUAGAAAAAUGAUACAUCAUCAUUUCUACUAACCAUUUAACAAAGAGUCAUCGAAAUAGAAAUAAUUUAAAACUUGAAUGAUUAAAAUAGAACUGAUCUAAAAAGUUAGUAACUAAAUUGAAAGCUUCCAUAAUUAGAUGACCAAAAUAAAAAUACGCUAAUAAUUAGAUGAAUAAUUUUAUAAUUUACCCAAAAAGCAGACCAAAGGGUCAUUGUGAUAAUCUAAAAAAUUGUACUAGUUUUCAUCGAAACUUGCAAGCAUAAAGCGGUAAAAUAAAUCUGUGUGCCACCGUCCUAAAAGAAAGUAGAUGAAAAAUAUAAAUCUGUGGUGAAAGUGACGAGUGAAAUUUCAAGAUUGACACUGACCAAUCAACAUAAAACCCCACAAUAUGGGCUAAUUUGUAAUUAUAUUUCAUCAUUCUAUUUAAUCAUCAUCUUUUUCCAUCUUUUUCUUUAUCUAGUUAUUAUUAUUCUGUCGAAAGUUCUAAUAUUUAAAUUAUUAUAUUAAAUUAAUAAACAUUUUAAAUUUAUUUUAUUUAAAAAUAAAAUCAAAACGUAGGUUUUUAUAUUAAGAUUCAGAGUAUAUUUUAUUUUUUUAUUUAAAAAAAUAAAAAAAUUAAUUUUUAUAUGUUAAAUAAAAAAUAAUUUAAAUUUUUUUAUUAAAAUAUUUAUUUAUUUCUAUCGUUAAAUUUUGACAUAACUAAUAAAAAAAACAUACUACUGUAUGUGUAUGUCAUUCUGACACAAUCUGACAAUGCUACCAUGAAACAUGUUAAACAUUUUAUUGGUACAUAAUUAAGACAAAUUAAGUUUUGUAGUAAUUAUUCAAGAUUAAAAAAGUUUUUGUAGUAAUUAAAUUAAGUUGAGACAAAAUAAAACAGAAUAUACUCCCUAUAUGCUUGCAUGAAAACGUGCGACGACCAAACAACUAUACUAACUGUUGUUUCCUAAUUACUCAAAACAAAAGACAAACUCUCAAUUUUCAAGCAUAAGUUUAAGAAAUUUAAUCCAUAAUUAAGAAAUCAUAGUCACGUGCUACAUUUUUACAUAUUCUCUUAAAUUUGUAACUUUUUAUAGUUGAGUGGCUAAAAAAAAUAAUCAUAAUUGAGUGACCUAUACUGCAAUUUACCCUAAAAAUAAAAGAUUAAAACAUACCUAUAUAAUGACUAAAUUUCAAAAUUUUAAAAAUUAUAAGGUUUUAACAAAAAUAAAAAUAAUUAGAGAAGAGAUCUAUGGUAAAUAUGUCUUAAAAAGUGUUGAAAGUACCAAUAAUAAUGCAGGAGUGGGGUAGAUAUAGUCCAGCACGUGAAAUUCUAACAAUAACACGUGUCAGAUAUAUAGAUCCCCACGUGGUAAUGUACGAGAUCUCCCUAAAAUAUUGAUCCAUCACUCAUUCCAUUUCCCCAUGCAUGUUCUUCUUACCCAAAAAAGGAUGGUGGUUUAAUCCAGAAAUAAAAAUAAAUAAAUUAAUAUAAAUAUUUUCUUUUACAAUUAUUAAAUAAAUUAAUCAUCUGAUAAAGUUUUAUAACAACAUGCAUAAAGAAGCUUGGAUAAGUACAUUUUUUAUAUUAAUAAAUUAUGUCGGCUAGCAAAAUAAAUAAAAAAAGGUUUUAUUGUUCUUUUUUUGUAAAAUGUAAUAUAUAUAUAUAUAAAAUGUUAGCAUAUGCAAAAGAAAAGUUGGUUUUUGUGUUGAAUGUCUUAUCUAUCCAUCUAUCGAAAAUCAUCACGGGAUGAUACAUUAUUCUUCACUUUUUGUUUUUCAUUAUUUCUUAUAUUUUUUGUUUGAAAAUUUUUCUCUACUUACAUAUAUUAUAUAAUUAUUUCAUCAAUUUUUUGAUUGAGUUAUAUCUCGAUUAGCACGGGCAUUGUUGUCAAUACAGGAAGACAUGAGCUCGAAUAUACUGAAGCACACUAUCCUCCUAUUUAUGAGUUGAGGAGCGGCUAUGGAUAGUUUUAGGUAAGGGCGAAACUAGAAAAUCUUUUUAGGGGCCGAAAUUAAAUUGUAAUUUUUGCGAUAGCAAAAAUAUAAUUUUACCAUUUUAAUAGCCUAUAUCUUUAUAAUUUUUAAAGGAUUAAAUCAUUUUUUUAUAUUUUUAAGGGGUCAAAGUACAACUUUACAUUUACUAAUAUAAAAUUUUAAAGGGCCUAACUGAAAAUUUUACCAUUUUAUGGGGAUCGGGGCCCUUGCCAGCCCCUAAUUUUGCCCUGAUUCCAGUCAUUGUAUUAAAAAGAGCAAAUAUGAUCAAAGCUUAUAAUGAUAUUAUUAAAUAUAUAUAUAUUUCAUCAAUUCUCUUUGAUGCACUUUAAUUUGCAGAAGAAAUGAAAAUAACAUUGAAAAUACUUAUUAAGAUUUUUUUUUAAAUACUCAUUCAAAUCGUCGUGAUAAUUUAUUUUUUCUAUUAGAAUUAUACGUAUGCAUUUGAUUGAAAUAAUUAACAAUAUUAAUUAGACUAAUUAAUUAUAUUAUAAAAGUAGAUAGGGUAAAUUAUGUCAAAACUUAAAGUAUAUAGAUUAAAUGUCAAGUUUCAACCUAGUGUAGAGGCCAAAAUUGAAAUUUGACCAUUGUAUUAUGAUGUAAAAAAUGACACAAAUCUAAUAGAAAUGGGAAGCUGCGUGUCAAACUAUAAGACUCUUAGGGUACUCAAAUUAUAAAUAACCACGUACCAAUAUUAAUUAUUUGGACUAAUUAAUAAUAUUAUAAAAACAUAAAAAUUAAAUUAUGUUAAAAAUUAAAGCAUAUAGAUUAAAUAUCAAAUUUAAGCUAAAAUUUAACCGUUUUUAUAAUAUGCAGAAAAAGAAAAGAACAAAGAAAGAAAAAUAAUUUGCUGUGACACCUAUAUUAAAUAUAAAUUUAAAUCUAAAUUUACUUUUUUUUUUUGAAGAAUCUUAUUAUAAGAUCGGAUAAUAUUUGUUCUUUUUGAGACAAUGCCUAUAACUAGUCAUAAUUCCUCCCCAAUUCAUAAAUAGAAGGAUAAUGUGCUUCAACGCACUCGAACCCACAUUCUCCUGUAUUGAUUAUAAUACCCAUACCAAUCGAAUUAAAACUUAAUCGAUUAAAAUCUAGUUUUACGUCUGUUAAGAUCGUGAAUAGAAGAAAUAUAUUUAAAAAAUUGUAUAUUAUUGCCAAAAUUAAAAUCUGCAAACAAUUUAUCGUGUUGUAUGCAUUGUUCUCUCACAACUCAAUUAAGAAUAGAUUAAAAAUAUAUAAUCGUAAUGAAAAGUGAUUGGUCAUUAUAUUGUAUACGUUAUCGGGCAUUAUCUAAUAAAUGUCACCUAUGUAUAUAUAUAUAAAACAAAGGUGUCACCAAUAAUCAACAGUGUGUGAAUAUAUAUAUUCCAACAAAUAUAAGCUUUUGUAAUUUAAAGGUACACGUAUACAUUCGUAGGUUAUGAGAUUUAAAUGUGAAUAAUAGUUUUAGAUGGGGAUGUUAUUAUAAAAAAUUCAACUUCUAUUUUUAAUUUUUGAAAGACUAAUGAAAAUGAUUUCAUGUGUUUUAUGACUCAAAUAAAUCAACAUCUAAUGUGAUGGGUGUCUUUUUUGAACCAUUCAUUCAAUUGAGACUAAUUAAGUAGAUAUCAUCCUUACUAAGAACAGCUAAUUAACAGUAUAAUUUGUUGAAUAUUGGCAAUAUCCCACAUUAGGAAAAGAUAGAAAGGGAGGGGGUUUGGUUUGUUAUAUAUAGAACCCCUCCCCCUUUGGUUGUAUCAUCCCAAAAUCUUUUCCUUUGUAAUAUUUCUAGAAGAAAUAUUAAUUUGGUAGUGUCCGAGGACGUAAGCUAAAUUGGCCGAACCUCGUUAAAUCUCUGGUAUUUUAUUUCUUAUUUGUUUGCUUAUAUUUAAUAGCUUUAUGUUGGUUAUAUUUAUUUAGUUAUUAUUGCUAUAAAUAUCUAAGUGAGUUCUGUCUAGUUGUUGGGUUUUAAGCGGGACCAUUUGUGACCCCUCCAAUUUAACUGGGAAUUUUCUUAGUAUAAUUGUUGGCAUAAUAAUUAUCUAAAUAUUUAUGAUAAUAUUGUUAUUAAUAUUAUCGUCGCUUCCGCAACAAUUGGUAUCAGAGCCAAGGUUUUGUAGUAUGCUCUGUGUUUGCAGCUUAGUCUGAUCUUACACAUCAGAAACAUUUCCUAAAGCUUGUGGGUAUUCUGCAUUUGGUGGCUAUUAAGUAGAAGCUAUGGCAAAAAUGACAGAAGAAAAACCAUCCAUAUCAACAACUUCCACUUCGUACAUUUUGCCGAGGAUUGGAACUGCAAAUACGAGAUUUGUAGUGGAAAUUUUUGAUGGAACAGGUCAUUUUGGCAUGUGGCAAAGUGAGCUUCUAGAUGCCCUCUUUCAACAGGGUCUAGAUAUUGCUAUUGAGGAAGAAAAACCAGAAGGGGUUGAUGAUAAAGAAUGGAAGACCAUCAACCGAUUGGCAUGUGGUACAAUUCGAUCAUGUCUUUCCAGAGAGCAGAAGUAUACAUUCAGUAAAGAGACUUCUGCAAGUAAAUUGUGGAAAGCAUUGGAGGAGAAAUUCUUGAAGAAGAACAGUCAAAAUAAGUUGCAUAUGAAGAAAAGACUGUUUCGUUUCAAUUAUGUUCCUGGUACCACGAUGAACGAGCACAUUACCAAUUUUAAUCAGCUGGUGGCUGAUUUGUUGAAUUUGGAUGUGACUUUUGAAGACGAAGACUUGGCAUUAAUGUUGUUGGGAUCGCUUCCUGAGGAGUUUGAGUACCUUGAAACUACUCUACUUCAUGGAAAAUCGGAAGUAACUUUCAAUGAAGUAACUGCUGCAUUGUAUAGCUAUGAACUACGCCGAAAGGAUAAGUUGAAAGGUUCAGGUGAAGCAGCAGUGGAAGCAUUGGUAACAAGAGGUCGUCAGCAAAGUCAGUCUAAUGGGAAGAGAAGAAAGUCCAAAGGUCGAGCUGUUGCCAAAGAUGAAUGUUCCUUUUGCAAAGAAAAAGGACAUUGGAAGAAAGAUUGUCCAAAAUUGAAGAAAAAAGGGAAGACUCCGCAAGAUGCAAAUGUUGCAGAAUGCAAUAGUGAAGCAGAGUCAGACUUUUCUCUUAGUAUGACAUCUUCAACAUUAUAUGCAGAUGAGUGGAUCAUGGAUUCUGGUUGUUCCUAUCAUAUGUGUCCCAUUCGGGAAUGGUUCUUUGAAUUUCAAAAACUAGAUGAAGGGGUUGUUUACAUGGGUAAUGAUAACACAUGUAAAAUAGCCGGGAUAGGUUCAAUUAAACUGAGGAGUCAUGAUGGAUCUACUAGAAUUUUGCGGGAUGUACGAUAUGUCCCAAAGUUGAAGAAGAAUCUCAUCUCUUUGGGGUCGUUAGAAUCUAAAGGCCUAGUUGUGACAAUACGAGAUGGAGUUCUUAAAGCAACUUCAGGAGCAUUGGUGAUGUUGAAAGGCAUAAGAAAGAACAAUCUGUAUUACUACCAAGGUAGUACAGUGGUCGGGACAACAGCAGCAGCAAUUUCGAGUACCAAGAAGGACGCUGAGGCAACACAGCUGUGGCAUAUGCGUUUGGGCCAUGCUGGUGAAAAAUCCUUGCAAACUCUAGCCAAGCAAGGAUUAUUGAAAGGUACAAAGACUUGCAAACUUGAAUUUUGCAAGCAUUGUGUUCUGGGAAAACAACGAAGGGUGAAAUUUGGCACUGGGAUUCACAAUACUAAAGGUAUUCUGGAUUAUGUGCAUUCUGAUGUAUGGGGACCGUCCAAGACUCCAUCACUUGGAGGAAGACGUUAUUUUGUCACCUUUAUUGAUGAUUUUUCCAGACGAGUUUGGGUGUUUCCUAUGAAGAACAAAGAUGAGGUGCUUGAAGUUUUCCUUAAGUGGAAAACUAAAGUUGAAAAUCAGACAGGAAGGAAGAUUAAGGUUCUCCGAUCAGACAACGGUGGAGAAUAUAAAAGCGAUCCUUUCCUGAAGAUAUGCCAAGAUUGUGGCAUAGUAAGGCACUUCACCGUAGGUGGAACACCGCAACAGAAUGGGGUGGCAGAGCGUAUGAAUCGAACGCUUGUGGAGAAAGUUCGAUGUAUGUUAUCUAAUGCUGGAUUAGAUAGAAAGUUUUGGACUGAGGCUGUGACGUACGCUCAACAUCUCAUCAAUCAUUUGCCAUCAUCUGCUAUAAAUGGCAAGACUCCUUUGGAGAAAUGGUAUGGAAAACCUGCUACUGAUUAUGACACCUUGCGCAUUUUUGGUUCUAUUGCAUAUUAUCAUGUGAAAGAAUCAAAGUUAGAUCCAAGAGCAAAGAAGGCUCUAUUCAUGGGCUUCAAUGCUGGUGUUAAGGGAUAUCGUUUGUGGUGUCUAGAGGCAAAGAAGACGAUAAUCAGUAGGGAUGUUACCUUUCAUGAAUCUGCCAUGUUGAAUAAGGUAAAUCCAGAAGGAGUAGUAGUACUUCGCAGCAGGUGGAGUGUACUCCGCAGCAGGUGGAGUUUGAGCAGAGUGUGGUAAUUCCAGCAGAAGGUACCACUAGUGAUUCUUCAUUGGCAGAUGCAGAGUCAGAUGAGGAAGAGGUUUCUACCCAAGAACCUCAACAGCAAUCAGAGCCAAUUGCAGUCAGAAGGCAGAGAUGAGAAAUUCAGAAACCAGCUCGUUUCACUGACAUGGUAGCUUAUGCACUUCCAGUUGUUGAUAAUAUUCCAUCCACUUACACCGAAGCCAUUCAGAGUUUAGAGAAUAAUAGAUGGUUAGGUGCAAUGGAAGAGGAAAUGCAAUCUCUAGAGAAAAACAAGACGUGGAAGUUGGCACAACUACCAAAAGGGAAGAAGGCGAUUGGUUGCAAAUGGGUAUUUGCAAAGAAAGAAGGAUUUCCCGACAAAGAAGAUGUUCGUUACAAGGCAAGGUUAGUGGCUAAAGGCUACGCUCAGAAGGAGGGAAUUGACUAUAAUGAGGUAUUUUCUCCAGUUGUUAAACAUUCCUCCAUUAGAAUUUUGUUGGCCUUGGUAGCGCAGUUGAAUUUGGAGCUAGCUCAACUUGAUGUGAAGACCGCGUUUCUACACGGUGAUUUGAAGGAGGAAAUCUAUAUGACUCAGCCAGAUGGAUACAGGGUUGCUGGUAAAGAAAAUUGGGUGUGUAAACUUAGCAAAUCGUUGUACGAAUUGAAACAAUCUCCGAGACAAUGGUACAAACGAUUUGACAGGUUCAUGAAGGACCAGAAGUACAAAAGAAGCAAAUACGAUCAUUGUGUGUAUUUGCGCAAGCUUCAAGAUAGUUCCUACAUCUACUUACUCUUGUAUGUUGAUGAUAUGCUGAUUGCAGCAAAGAGCCAAAUGGAGAUUGAUAGACUGAAGGCUCAGUUGAGUAAAGAGUUUGAGAUGAAGGAUUUAGGGGAAGCUAAGAAGAUUCUCGGCAUGGAAAUAACUCGGGAUAGAAAGAGGGGCAAACUUUGGCUGUCACAAAAAUAGUAUUUGGAGAAGGUACUACAACGUUUCGGUAUGUCUGAAGGUACAAAACCUGUAAGUACCCCAGUUGCUCCUCAUUUUAAACUAAGUAACCAGUUAUCUCCAACGACUAAGGAAGAACGAGAGUACAUGGCAAAAGUCCCAUAUGCAAAUGCAGUUGGAAGCUUGAUGUAUGCAAUGGUAUGUACGAGACCAGAUAUUUCACAGGCUGUUAGUGUUGUUAGCAGGUACAUGCAUGAUCCGGGCAGGGGUCAUUGGCAAGCUGUGAAAUGGAUUCUGCGGUAUCUCCAAAAUACCAUAGAUGUCGGAUUGGCAUUCGAGCAGGAUGAAUCAUUUGGUCAAUGCAUAGUUGGAUAUUGUGAUUCUAAUUAUGCAGGUGAUUUGGAUAAGCGACGGUCUACAACUGGCUAUUUGUUUACUUUAGCGAAAGUGCCAGUUAGUUGGAAAUCUACCUUACAGUCCAUGGUGGCUUUGUCUACAACAGAGGCAGAGUAUAUGGCAAUUACAGAGGCUGUGAAGGAAGCAAUUUGGCUUCAUGGAUUGCUUAAAGACUUGGAAGUUGGUCAGAAACAACUUAAGGUAUAUUCUGACAGUCAGAGUGCUAUUCAUUUAGCAAAGAAUCAAGUUUUUCAUGCACGAACGAAGCACAUAGACGUUCGCUAUCACUUUGUGCGGGAAAUUCUCGAAGAAGAGGAGAUACUUCUCCAAAAGAUUCACACUACGGAGAAUCCUGCAGAUAUGCUGACUAAGGUGGUUACAAGGGCCAAGUUUGAACAUUGUUUAGACUUGAUCAAUGUCCGACACAUUUGAUAUGGCGUCGUUGGCGCAAAUUUGAAGACACUAUUGAAGUUUGUGUUAUGAGAAGAUGUUCAAAGAUGUGGAAUAUCGCCAAGGUGGAGAUUUGUUGAAUAUUGGCAAUAUCCCACAUUAGGAAAAGAUAGAAAGGGAGGGGGUUUGGUUUGUUAUAUAUAGAACCCCUCCCCCUUUGGUUGUAUCAUCCCAAAAUCUUCUCCUUUGUAAUAUUUCUAGAAGAAAUAUUAAUUUGGUAGUGUCCGAGGACGUAAGCUAAAUUGGCCGAACCUCGUUAAAUCUCUGGUAUUUUAUUUCUUAUUUGUUUGCUUAUAUUUAAUAGCUUUAUGUUGGUUAUAUUUAUUUAGUUAUUAUUGCUAUAAAUAUCUAAGUGAGUUCUGUCUAGUUGUUGGGUUUUAAGCGGGACCAUUUGUGACCCCUCCAAUUUAACUGGGAAUUUUCUUAGUAUAAUUGUUGGCAUAAUAAUUAUCUAAAUAUUUCUGAUAAUAUUGUUAUUAAUAUUAUCGUCGCUUCCGCAACAUAAUUAACAAUAAAUUAGUUUGAAACUAAUGCUAAGAUUCUAUCUCCCACUUAGGUCUGUAAAAAUUACGUAUCUAGAAUAUAUGAGUGUGCAGAGAUAAAGACAGAGGGCCCCAAAAUGGUAAAUUUUUUUUUAGUUCCUUCUUUUUUAUGAAAUUGUAUGUUUGUAUAUGAUUCAUUUCUGACUCCGUAAGUCAAUUUUUUGGCUUCGUCCCUGUAGAUGUGUUUAAAAAUAAUAUACAAUAGAUUAUGAAAUGUACGAUUUGAAAUUAAUUAAUGAUAACACUUCCAAUAUGUACGAGAUUAAAAAGAGGAAAAAUGGAUUAAAUUGUGAGCAAAAUGAUACUUAAGCAUGUAAAAAUAAAUCAAAUUAAGAAUAGUAAAUGCACUACAGUUGUUUAUCAUGGUGUUUUUAUCAAUUUUGAGUUGAUGUCGAGUUAACUUGUGACACUACAAUUGAUGGAGGUAACAAAGUAUACAUAAUAAAAUUAAAAUGUACAAAACAUUUCAAAAAAAAAAAUCUUGAUUGAGUGAUAAAAAUAAAGUUUUAUUGAUGCAAAUAUUAUUGGUUCAAAUCGCGCCAUAUAUAAAUUGUUUAUUAUUUUUUAAAAUAAAAAUGUCAAAAUAUCUUAGAAUAAUAUAACUUAUUUUAAAUAGGGAAAUGACAUUUUCAUCAUUUUCAUAACGAGUUGGUAUCCGGUUAACUCAUGACACCAACUCAAUCAGGGAUUUAAUUAAUAGGUUUGCACUUGAUAUAUUAUGAAUGUAUAAAUUUAUACAUUACUAAUUAGAAGUGUUCAUGGCCGAAUCAAACCAAAAAUUAACUUGAUUCUAAAAUAAAAUUUGUCAAACUCCAUUUGACAUCAUUUACACAAACCACCCAUUUUCUUGUUUAAAAAAAUAUAAUAUUAAAAAUAAAGUUUACAUUAAUAUUAUAUUAUAAUUAAAUUUAAGUAAAAAUUUAAUUUAAUUUAAUUUAAAUUCAGUUCUAGCGAAGCGAACCCAAUAUUUCAUAUAAAUCCUUUUGUAUAUUUUUGUACGACUAAUCUUUUAACGAUCCAACUGUCAUAUUUCAUAUUCCAUUCAUAUAAAUCAUGAAUAUCAAAUUGAUGUAAAUUAAAAUUUCCUAACUAUUUGUUUUAUGUAUAAAAAAUUUAACCAUUCAGUAAAUAUUAAUAUAUACACUAUUUUAGAUCGAUAUAUUAGAUAUUCAGUUCGAAAAUUUACAUGAAUAAUAAGUAUUAUUAUAUCGAUAAAUUCAACGAUUAAAUCAUUAAAAAUAUUAAUCGUACAAAAAAUAAAAGGGUGUAAAUAGAUACUUUCCUAUAAUUAAAUCUUAAUUGAAUUCGUAAACAAAUAUAAUUUACCAUAUCAAUCCUUUUUGAAGAAGUUUACAAAUAAUAUGCAUCCGAAAUACUAUAACCAUAAGUAAUCAUCCUAAAGUAUAAUCGAAUUGAAACUGAAAUAUAUCUAAAAUUUUAAUAUAAUAUUUAUUUUUAUUCAUAAUCCUUCUUCAAUUUUUAAACCUAACGAAAAACGAGUUCCUACGUUUAUAAUUAUAUUGACAAAGACACAUAUGUCGACGAGAACUACAAUAGAGAAAGAAAGUGAAAAAGCGAGGAGAAAUUUUCGAAAACCAGGGGCAGUUUCUCCCCACAACCCCGACACUAAGCGGUUUUUCUACAGUAAUAUUAGCAGGUUUAUUUCCUUUUCAUAUAUAUUUAUCACUACAAAUUAUUUUAUACAACUUGGACAGCGCCCACAAUAUCUCAUACUAGGGUUCUUUUGUUACAUGGAACUCAAACAAAACCGCUCUUUUUUUUUUUAAUAUUCUUCUUUGAACUUCUCUGUAUAAAUUUGUCAGCUAGUGUGUGUUUUUUUGUAUGCUAGUGAUUUCAAUUAUAAAAGAUGCUAAACAGUGCCAAAUACAGGCUUUUUGAUCAUUGAAGAAACGCAACGUUAGAUACUUGUAUAUUUGUUUUUUUAAGCUCUAUUACCAAAAAUUGUAUACUUUCCAAAAAUUGUAUGUUGAAUUUCCAAAAAAGAAAAAAAAACAUUUUUUAAUGAAUAAACCGAUCAAAUAAGGUUGUCUUUAUUAAAUUACGUUUUGAUUUUCGUUUUUUUAUCGUACCGAUUGAUGUUACGGGUGACACUAGUUUUUAGGGUUUUUUUUUCUUUAUUUUAAAGUUUGGGUUGUAAAUGCAUGGGACGACUCUGAUUCAACUGCAUGUGAAAGAAAGAGAAACAGCUUUCAUUUCGAGUCUUUCUUUUAAAUUUAUUUUUCCUUUCAUUUGUUUUGCUUAUGCUUAUUUCUAAUUUUGGGAUUGUAUAAUAUGUUGGAAAAUAAAUAAAGCUUAGUUUAGAUAAUCAUUUAUUUGUGAUUAUUGUAAAAAUAAUUGUAACAAUAAAAUUAAAUAUUAUAAUAAUAUUUUAACGUAAGAUAAAAAUAAAUUAAAUAGUGUAAUAUCUAAAUCCCACCUAAAUAAUGAAUGAAAUCAAUAAAAUUCACAAAAAGCGAUUGUUUUCACGAGGAGAAUCCCACAAAUUACAUUUAAAUUGUUGGUUUUGUUUUGGGUUUUUAACACUUACGUUGAAGUUUUACCAUAAGUCAUUAUAAAGUAUAAUGUUUUUAUAUAAGUAUAUGCCGUAAAUGAAUUUUGUUUGGGUAAAAGUAUUAUGGAGGUUAUUGUAUUAAAAGUUAGAUUAUAAUUUUUCUACUAAAAAAAUAAAAAAAAAUUAGUCAUUAUACGUUAGAUCAAAAAGCAAACUGAUUAUUCUGUUAAAAUUUCAUCCAUUUUUACUGUUAAAAAUCGAUCCCUAUAUGUUUUUAACAAUAGAAAUAAAUGAAAUUUUUAACAGAAAAAAAUCAAUUUGCUCUUUGAUCUAAUAUACAUUGACUAAUUUACUCAUUACAAUCUACAACUCAAUAUAAGGACUUCCAUGAUACUUUUACCUUUUGUUUGAUUCUUCAUCUACUAUACUUUACAUUUGAUUGAUUUUAUGUCGUAAUUAUUCAGGCAUAUAUUUAUACUUAUAUCAUACUUAUGAGUAUACUAUACUUGCAAAAUAAUUUUGUAAGAAUUAUUGACAAAUUAGGGGUUUUUCAUUUUUGUUGGGCUUAUAAUUGAGUUGUUUAGUAAUUAUAUAUAUAUAUAAAUUUUGUGCAAUAUUUUUCAACUUUGACAGGAUGAAAUGGAGUAAUUUUUCCUUAAACCAAUUUAAAUUAAUUUCUAUUUCAAAUAAACACACCACUAAUGUACCCCCAGAAAAGAAAAAUACACCACUAACAACAAGGUAGAAGACUAAUAAUUACAAUUAAUUAGUGGAAAUGUUGAAAAUUAGCACAAACACAAUUAAUGAACCCUCUAGCUAAUCUUUAAAUUUAUUAGCCCACUCUACCUACAAGUCUUAUCUCUUUUUUCUUUUUUUUUUUUAAAUCUACCUAACUUGUGAUCGCAAUCGACCAACAAUGAAAGCUCCGGUCCCAUACCCCUCUCAUGGUGCUGCCUGCUCAAUGCUGCUCCCAAUAUAGCCUUAUAUUUGCCCCCCAAAAAGUGUAACCCUAUCCUCCUAGAGACCAUUAAGCACUUGCACAACAAAAGUUGUACAUUGUAAGGGUUUUUCAUACUUUAGUGAAAAUUGAGUGUACACAUAUAUACACGUUCACACAUAUAUUUUAUGGUUUCUUACAUUUUCUUUUUUGUCAUUUCUAAUUAAAUAGAGACAAAUUGUAAUAGGAGAAAAGAAUCUUGAUAGGGAUGACAAUAGAGCGAGGUGAGAUGGAUGUUGUCGAAUCUACCAUCGUUCCAUAGUUGACAUGCUUUGCUUCAUCACCUAUCUAUUUCACUAUGGAUGCCUAAUUUUGAUAAUUACUACCACUUUUAUAGAUGUUGAUGCAUCCAUCCCACACCCUGCCUCACUCGACUUCAUUUUAAUUUUUACUAAUUAUUUCUAAUUUUUUAAAUAUUUUUAAAGUCAAGUAAAUAUUUAAACAUAAAAUAUAUGAGUUUAUAACACAUUAUAUAAAUUUAUAAAUUUAUCCUUGUAAUAGUUUUAUGUACAAUGGUAAAAUUGUAAUCUCAUAUAGCAGAGUGAGACAAAGUUGAGCAGGCAAAUACCAUAAACUUUAUACCCAUUGUCCAAAAAAAAAAAAUCCACCCUGUCUCAUCUUGCAUCCAUUUUUCAAGAAAAAAAAAACUGCUCCAAUCAAAGUGGAUUGAUUCGAAAUUCAUCAGGCGGUUUAAAUUUUGCCAUCCUUAUAUUUUGGUCCCUCAAUAUCUUUUUAAAAUUUUUAUUAGGCUCUUAAAAAUUUUAAUUAUACUUCUAAAUUAUUUGAAAAAUUCUUAUUAAACCCUUCAAAAUUUUUAAAAUUCUCAUUAGAUUCUUCAAUUUUUUUUAAAUUUAAUUAAAUUAUUCAAAAUUUAGUGUCAAUAUCCGCGAUUGUUACUAGGUCACAAUCUUUACAUAAACUUGAGCUUUCUGAUUAGUCAUUACACGUUACCCAUUUUCUCAAACAGGUUGUUUAACUUGCUUGUCAUGUUGGGAAAGCUAAAUUUGCCUAGAAAGGUCUCUAAGCCUCGUAUUUUGCUUGAAGAUUUUCAAUUUGUGGGGGCAUAUAUUUUAUUAAAAUUUUGAGAGAUUCAACCAUUUCGAAAUUGAGUUUACGUCUCUAAUUAAUAUAGUGGGGGCAUGAUACCUACGUAAAUGAAACGAUAUACAAAAGAAAAUUUUAUGCUUUCACACGUAUAAAUUAGAUUAUGGUAUGUGUGAGCAAAUUUUUUUAUGUAAAAUAAAUAUUUAUUAAAAAAGAAAAUGAAGUUUUAAUUGAAAUUAUAAAAUUAAGACUAAAAAUUAUAUUAUUCUAGAUUUAAAUUUUUUUUCCUACUAAGUUAAUAUUCGAUUAAUUCAUGAUCUCAACUCAAACAAAAAUUUUAAAAGUAUAAUGAUUUAAAUUAAACUAGCUAGGGUAGCAUUGUUGUAGAUGUUAAGGCCACUUGUUAGAGAAUACAAGAGAAUCAUGUUGAAGUUUGAAUGGCUAGAAAUGUAUACCAAAGUAUUUUAAUGGUGGACGUAAAGAAUCACAGAACUUUGUUAGAAGAUCGCACAAAAGAUUUUUAAUGUUAAUGAAAACCCCACUUGUGAUAAGGCAAAAUUUAGUUUGAAUGACUUGCUAGAAAUGAAAAUGAUUGUUUUUUUUAUUGAUCAUCAAUGCUAAAUAUUAUUAAAAAAAAUUAAUGAACUAAUAAAUUUAAUAAUACCCAUUUAUUAAUCUAGUUUGCGUGUUGUUUUGGAGUGGUAAUUGAAAAGAAAUUAUAAACAGUAGAUAUUGUGAAAUCCUUGGUUGAUGUUCUAACAAAAGCAGAAUAAGGAGUCCUUCGUUUUUUAAAGUCUGGAUGUGAUUAUUAUUUGCUGCAUUUUAGUUUUUAUUUGAAUUGAUGUUGAUUGUUUCAAGUCGAGUGUUUUUCAGAGUGAAAGAUUGCUCUAGGAGUUUUUGUAACAUGUUUUUAAGCGAGGUUGGUAUUUUUCAAUGUCUUUCUUUCUUCUUUCUUUUUUUUUUUAUCGAUUCAACAAAAAAAAAGAUGUCCAUUUAUAAUAAGAUUUAAGCCCGAAUAAAUUUGAAAAAAGUACCAAAAAUUUUGUAAACGAUUUAGGAAAUAAUUCACUCAAUCAUAGGUUCAAUUAGAGAAGCCAUAAUAUUGGAGCUAAAUCCCUUAAUCUCUCUCUAUAUGUAGUAUAUAUAUGUAUAGGUAUUUUAUUUGUUAUAUAUUUCCAUUAACUACUAUUGUAUUUCUUGCCUUAAAAAGAAUUAAUUAUUUGACUUCUUUGAUUAGGUCGAGGAAUCAAAAAAUGAAGCCAGAAGACACCACUUAUCAAAAGAUUAUUAAGAUGCAAUUAAAGAACAACAGUUGGUUGAAUUGAGAGAUCAUUCCCUAUUGUAUUGACUAAAAUCAUAAGAUCUGUUUUAAAUGAUCUUCAAAGCCAAACAAUUUUGUUUAGUGCCUCAGUGGCUGUGGGUCCUUAAUUAAUUUAACUUCGAAAUGUGUAUCGCAUGAUUAUCGAUGAUCUACACCCUAAAACCAUUGACUCCUAUGUUACAUAUUUUAAAGGAAUAAUUAAAGAUAGUUCACAAGAUAUUGUUGAGAGUUAUUUGUAAUUAAAAAUAUUAGUGAAUUGGGAAGUUUGAUGAUGUUUGGGUAGAGUUUUUGUGUCUCAUCCUUGAUUCCUUUCGAGGUGGAGGACCCUUAUAUGGAAAAGAAUGAGCUUGGUGUAAGUCCUUCUAGCACGAUAUUUUAUCGAGUAGGGCUAUGGAAUGCUAUUAGUAGAGUUUUGGAGUGCUCUGUUAAGAUAUGAUUAGAUGUGACUUGAUUUUACCUUUAUACAAUAAUUAAUUUUUAAUUUUACUUUGUCUCUCUUAGAAAAAAUUUAAAUUUUGACCAUUUAAAAUGUAUAAAAUUAUAAAUUAGUAAUAAUAGUUGUAAUCUUAAUUAAUAAUCUCCUUUUCAUAUUGGAAUUAAGGUUUAUAUAUAUAUAAAUGCCAAUUAUGUGAGCUGUUUUAAGGAUAUGAACCCAAAAGAUACAAAAUUAUUUAUAAAAAGGGAAUUCAAUCGAUUUGAAUAAUAUUUAAACAAAAUACUUAUUAAAGAAGUCCAUAAGCAUUUAAAUAAAUUAAAUUAAUGGGUUCCAUGUUUAGUAGUUGCAGUACAAUGAAAUCUAACAUUUUAUAUGUUCAAAGAUUGAGAACAAUUAAAGCUAAAAAUUAAUGUAUAUUUUGUUCUUUCUAUGAUUAGCUUAAUAACAUUAAUUAUUUUUAGUAGAAAAUAUACACGAUUCCUCAAUAUUGGGAAAUUCAGGCUGUCGUAUAUGAAAAUUCUUGAUAUAUUACUUCUUUAUGUUUACCAAUUUUAUUGAACAAAUCUAAAAGAUUGCAACAAUGAAUUGAAUUAUGAACUAGUUGGUCUACUAUUGUUAUUGAAAAUUAAAGCUUAAUUAUAGAAAAAAACAAGUGCUAAAAGUUAAUUUGAUUCCACAACUGGCUCCAUUACAUCUUUGAAAAUCUUUACUAACUAAUAUGACAGUUAUUUCUAUCGGUUUUCUAAGAAGAAAUUUCGUAGGUAAAGAUGCAAUCCGUCUAUAAUCAUACAUUAUUCUUUUUCCCUCCUACCAAACAUAGUAUUAAGAAUCGAGAAGGGAUUGUAUGAAACUAUAAUUUCACGUCAUCUCUAUCCCUUUCCAAUAGGAAAAUCAUAAAUCAAAAUUUUCCUCCUGAAUUUUAGCAUUUUUAAUUGGAUUUGAAUUUUUUCAGGAGGAGAAGGCUGUAAAUCAGGAGGAAAAAUCUGAUUUGUUAUUCUCCUAUUGAAAAGAGAUAAAGAUGAUGUGGAAUCACAAUUUCAUACAAUCUCUUCUCUUAGGGAUUAUUUAAUAAAAUUAAUUACUCAAAUUAUUAUAUAUAAAAUUAUAUUUUAUAUAAACUUAAUCUCGCAAACAAUCAUUUUGUUUUUUUUAUCUCAUACUAAUUUUACUUUCAUUAUUAUAGUAAUUAAUCUUAUCAUUAUUGUUGUUCUCAAUCUCACUAGAACCAGAUUUACUGUCCAUCCAAAUAGAUCUUUAGAGUGCGUUUGGUACAUGUAAUGUAAAAUUACUUUGAUACUAAAAUUAAUGCAAUGUGAUAUUACUUAGCACAUUAUCACGUUUGUUAAAUUUUCAUUUUGGUUCAUUAGAUUAAAAAAUAAAAUUUUGUUGUUUGAUUCACGUAAUGUAAGAUUAUUUAAAAUUAAAUUUUACUAAAUUAUUAUUUUUAUAAAAAAUUUUUCAACAGUUCAUUUCGUUUGAUAUUAAUUGAAUAUAAUAUAUUAAUUUUAUAGUUAAUAUAUUAAUUUUCCUUCAAAUACAAACCUUUACCACAUUGUUUGAAUAUACCAAUUAUGAUUUCUUUGAUUUUGUUACUACAUAUUAUUUUUCUUUUUUAUUAAAAAGUAUCUUAAAUAAGUUAAUUGAAUUUUAGUUCAGUUGACAUUAACACUAUUAUCUAUAUAAUAAGAUGUGAGUUCAAACAUACGUAUAUGUGUUUUCUAUAAUUAAAAACUCCUUGCAACUUACAGGUGUCAAAAUUCAGCUGCAAUCAAACUCCAUAGAAACAUCAAAGGAAGAUCUCCCAUACAGCCAGUAUCAACCCGAUGCGUCAAUCACUAGAACACCAACAGAGUGAUAAUAAGCGGAAAAAAAACAUUAGCUGCACGGCAACCAUGUAAAGUUCAAGCACACCAAGCAUCCCUAACACCAUGAUAAGAAUAUGGUUCACCACCAGGCAGUCAACAUAAAUCCUUUAUAAAAUCAAAUCAUGCUUCACCAACCGAAGGAAUUCGGUGACAACAUCACAAUCAGAAAGCUCCUAACCCCUUUAAAAUCCCAUUUUCCAAAACCUGACAGCAAAAUUGCAUAAUGAAUAGACAAGUGUUCACUUCCUCCAUGCAAUUUCAACACUAAAAAAAAAAACAGAUAUAUCCCAAACGAUAAUCAAACUCUUGAUCCACCAGCUAGCAGACUCAUCAAAACGAAAAUCGAAGUCCUCAUCAAAGAUACUUAUGCUAAUUUCCUUAAGUAUUUCUCAUACAUAAUUCAUCAGAAAAUCUCAAAGUUAAUUUUAGGGAUAAAUAUCAAAAUUAUACAUGAAUUUUGAUCAAAUAUGUAAUAUUAUACAUUAAUUUUGAUUUUAUACAAUUUUAUAAAUGAAAUUUUAAUUUGAUUCAGUUUUCACAAAUCAUUGACAACAUUAUCGAAUUAACAUCAUUUUACGUUGAUAUAUUGCAUACACAAAUAAAUAUAUCAAUUCAAUAUGAAAAUAAAUGUAUGUAUCUAUUUUUUUAAAUAUGUAUAAUUGAAUUAAAAUUGCAGUUUUAUGUAUACAUAUAAAUCAGAAUUCAAAUUUCAUAUAUAUAAUUACAUAAAUUAUCUAAUUUGUUAAUAAUAAGUUGAAUGAUAAAACUAAAUUAAAGGAUCAUGACUUUCAUGAAAGUUGAUAUAUAUUAUAUUCAAUGACCUAAGGCUGGGGAUGGUUUGAAAUUAUAUAUAAUAGUAAAAUAGUCAAUAUGUGAAUUAAGAAAUACUUAUAAUUUGGUUACUUAAAAUUGAAAAGCAAACCGAAACUAGAAGAAAAAACAAAACCCCACUACUUCAUUCAACUAAUUGAAUGAAUGGACUAAAGGUUCGCAACGCGUUUUACUGUAUAAAUAUUUGAUAGGUUUUGAACUUUGAAGCUAAGUAGUGUGGCAUGGCGUGUUCAUCUUUUGAGUUUAAUUAAGAUACGCUAUUAGUUGUAUCAAGUUUGUCUCCGUUCCCCCACGUUAAUUGGAGUAUCAAGUUUUGAUAGGUUAAUGCAUUGAAAGUGUUUUUAUUAUUGGAACUGGAUCAGAUUAGUUCGCCUAUUAUUAAAAAAGAUCAAAUAAGUGUAAAUUGUAAUAGAGUUAAUAUUUACUGUACUAAAAAUAUAUCGAAAGUCAUUUUUUCCAAUUGUAGUUUGUUGACGAGAGAAUUAACUCCUCUGGUAGAAGUCUUGUGUUCGAAGUGUCUUCCUCUAAGCAGUUGACCCGAAGCAUAAACCGUAUAUAAUUCUCCGUGGAGGUCGGGGACAAAACCCUGACAAGGAGAUAAUACCUUCGAUUAUUGGGGUUCAGGACAACUGCCUAGAGGACGACACUUCAAAAACAAGACUUUUCCCAGAAGAGUUGAUUCCCCCUCAACAUAUAUAGUUCAAUUCCAAACAAAAAAAAACUAUUUCCAAAACCAUAAAAAUUUUUAAAAUAUUAACCAUGUUAAAUAGUAAAUUAUAUUUUUUAAAUAAUAAAUGUUAACUUUAUUACAAUUUGGUCUUAUUUAAUUAUUUUAAUAGUACAAUAAUUCAAUUAAUUCAUUUAAUAGUAGAGAAAUUGAUUUGAUAUGUCAUUAUAGUAAAAUCACCUCUUACAUACAUUCAUAUAUAUAUGAAAUUCUCUACUUGACAAACAACUUGAUUGUUGACGUAUUGUUGACGUUGGAGGGAUGGCAUUUAGAUAUAAAGGACAAUAAUGCGUAUUAAUCAAAUGAUAUUAGGGGGAAUGCUAAGGAGUUAAUUUCGGUAAACUAAGGAUCUAAUCAAUGUAGUUGGAAAUUAACUAGGAAAAUCAAAUCUUUGAAAUUUAUUUUUACUGUUCUCUAUUUUAACAAGCAAAUCAAAUCUUUGAAAUUAAGUUGUAUCAAGUAAACUGUCCUUUUCAUUAGAAAUUAACAUAAGUUUUAGCUUGUAAUUUAGUGCUAAGAUGAGGAUGAUGUCAUGAUGAUUGAUCUAAGUUUAACGUGCAUGGUGGCAUAUGUUGAUGUAAGGAUUUUCGGAUGGGUAUUCUCUAUUUUGUAAAAAAAAAUAAAAAAAAAUCAUACUUAUAAUUAUAGUUUUUAUCUUUAAAUUGAGAAAAAAGCUCUAAAUAGAAAAGGAAUAACUUUUGUUUUACAUGAAUACAGAUUUGAAAGAGAGGUUAAUAUGUUUUUGUGUCUUGGUGCAUGCACUAGAAUUUGGCACCAAGUAUUGAGAUUCUAGAAGCACUCAUCUCAAAUCUAAAUUUGUUGAAGGGUUAAGUGUCAAAAUUUUGAAUAAAUUGAACGAAAAUAAUAGAAUUUGAAAAAUGAUACGAGAUAAAACAGUUUAAAAAAUAGAUCGGACUUUAUCUCUGAUGUAAUUUAUAAAAUUGCUAUGAGACAAAAUGUAGCUUACCUAUUCUCUUGACAUAUUUUGAAUAGAUUUCAUUUUUUCUCUUUUUUAGGAGGUUAAGCAACAAUUUAUGUGAACAUAAUUGGUGAAGAUAUUCAAUCAAGUUGAGAUAUUUUUAAAGAGUUAUAAUAUGAUUCUUACAUUAUUUAAAGAUAUUUAAUUGAUGAAAAAAUAUCUUUUUAUUCCAUAUCAUAUCAAGGGAUUAAUUGGGAAAGCUAUUAUCAAUCUACAACUCUUAUAUAUAUAUAUAUAUAUCAUACUACUUUUUUGAUUAGUUUGUGAGUAAGCUUUUAAAGAGGAAAGUCUUAGUGGAAAAUUGAAUUUAGAUAAUUGAAUAGGAGUGAUGCCAUAGUAUAAUGAGUAAGUUGAGCUUAAAUAAAUAUUUUAGUAUAGAAUUAUAGUAGAUAACUCUUUAUGUAAAGCCUUGUAGACAUAAAAAAAAAUCGGAAUUGCAGAAUCAAUUCAUGUGUUCAUUGUUUCACUUUUUUAGUUUCAAUUAUAUUUUAAGUUGCAACUCAUAAUAUAAAUUAACAACUCAACACUAACCAAAACAGAAAACAUUAGAUAAUAAUAAAAGUUGAACGUAUCAGCAAACCUUUUUUUGCCAUGGAAGCAAAACUAUUAAAUAAUUUUUUUUUUCAGUAAGUGUUUGAUACUAAUGAAUCUAUUUAUAGUAACAAAUCUUAAUUUUAAUUUGUAAGUAACCUUAAUAUUAAUUAAAUGAUAAUUAAUAAAAGCAAUAAAUGUAAAAUUAUUAAGUUUAUUUCAAUAUUACUAUAACUUUAUCUAAUUAAAUUAUUUCUUUCUAAUUGAUAUUGCUUUUGUUAAUAUACUAAAAUACUUUUUUUUAAUAUUAAUUUCGUAAUAUAAUAAAUAAUAAAAAGUACUUUCCUCCGUUUAAUAGUUCCUACGCAAUUUGUACUGAAAAUAAAAUUGAUGAGUCCCGCAUGUCUGCAAGUCAAAUGGUACAGCCCAAGUUGCGAAAUAGCAUUUUAGGGGUGCAAAUUGUGUUUAGUUCGAAAAAGCUUAUGAACACACCUUCUCUUAUCAAAGGCAAAGCUUUAUGUACUAUAGCAACUAGGGAAGAAAAUGAAGCUCAUUAGCAUUCGAGUAAAAUUAAAAUUAACAACAAAAAAACAACAAAGCAACGUACAUAUAUAUCUAUAUAUAUCUGUCAUUCUUUUACGGUCAAAACAUAAAUAUAUAGAUACACUGCUCACUGCCCUCAUGGACAAGAAAAGUCCUAACUAUUAGAGACAAAAUUACCUAAAAAUAUGUCGCUCCUUAACCCAACAUUGAAAUCUCGUACCCUUCCCAUUUCAUGUGAUUCCUGGGGAAGGGCUGGGCAUUGGGAGCCAAUGUUCAUGCAUGUCCUAAACCUUUAUGUCUUUGUCUCUCUUGUUCCUUUUAAUGAUGGGAAAGCAUUUGGUAUAUUGUUUGUAUGCAAAAUUCAACGUAUGGUUAGUACUUCUGUCUGUAGGAUUAUGUUGAGGAGUUUCUAAUGUAGCCGUCUGUUCUGUAUCUACUAGGAGGGUAACCAGUGCAUGGAUGUCCUUCAGAGGAAUUUAGCUGAAAAUAUGUUGUUUAUUUUUAUCUCUUAGACAUUUUAAGUCCCAAGCUGACAGCGACGAAGCUAAGAAUAUUUUUUAGAGGGACUGAGAUUAGAUUAAAAUUUUUAUAAGAGUUAAAAUGUAAAAUUUUUCAUUGUAAGCUUAAAACUUUGUAAUUUUUAAAAAAAUUAAAUUGUAUUUUUAUCAUUUUAAGGGAUCAAAAUGUAAUUUUAUCAUGUAUUAAUUUAUAACCUUUUGAAUUUUUGAAGGGCUAAAAUGUAAAUUUUCCAUUCUAAGGGGACUAGAGCCCUGCCUACCUCUCUAGUGUGCCCAUGCAGUUGACCUAUUUAACUUUUUUUUGUGUACUGAACUUUGUAGUUAAUAAAUUGUUCUUUUUAUUGAAAAAAAAAGUGUUGAGGGAGUUUUUAAGUCUCUAAAUUAAUGUUUGGUUAAGUGUUAAUUGAUUAUAGCAUUGUCUGCUUAGAAAACUUAUCAUGUUUAAGUUGGGAAAUUUGAGCAACAAAAAUUAUUGGGCUAUGAUUCUUGUUAAUGUUUUGGACGACAACAAGCCCAUCUUUGAUAUCCAAACUACACAUAGUAAAUAUUGGUUUGGAUUUGAAUCAAAGCAAUCAACUUCCCAAGUUAAAUGAAUGUGAUUGAAUUGAGCAAAAUUUGAAAGUAUAUCUUGAGGAUUCAAGACUUAUCCUGGUAUCAUUGAAUAUGUUCUUUAUACAUAUUAUCUUGCUUGUUUCGAAGGAAGAUUAAUUAUAAUUGAUAGAGUAUGUUAGCAGGUCUCAAUUAUUUAAAAAUUUAGGAGACUUGUAUAUGUAAUGUACUAAGAGCACUUAUUGUUGUUUAUUAGAGAAACGGUUAUUUUAAGUGCAUUAAUUGAGAGCACAAUCAAUUGUGCGACUUGGUUUAAGUCCUAAAGUCUAAUUUUGAUUCAAUAAUAUACAUUUUUAAUCAUCAAUUUAUUUUUACAUUGGAUAAAUAUAAUUAUUUUAAACUUAAAAUGAUGCUAUAUUAAUAAUUGUAUUAAUAAUUUGUAAGAAUUGUCUCAAAUCAAAAUUUUAUGUAUAAAAUUAUGCAAAACCAAAAUUCAUAUAUAAACUUGAACAUUAAACUAAAGUUCGUAUACAAUUUUGAGAUUAUAAUAUAUUUAUUGGCAUAGGCAUUAUUGUCAAUGUAGGAGGACGUGGGUUCAAGUGCGUUAACGUGCAUGAUCUUUCUAUUUAUGGGUUGGGGAGGGACUAUGGGUAAUUCUAGAUAUUGUAUCAAAAAGAACAAAUAUGAUCAGAACCUAUAAUGAAAUUGUUCAAAAUUAAUAAUAAUACUAGAGAAGUAAUGUUUUGAUUAAAAAAACUUACAUGCAUAUAGUAGGUAAGUUAUUUUUAUUUGUUUUUCAAUAAAAGUAAAAUAUUUAUAUAAUUCUAUUUUUUAAAAUAUUUUUUCCUAACUAAGUUGAUGUCAGUUAACUCGAUACACCGAAUUUAUGUAAAAAAAUAUAUAUUUAUAAACAAUUAUAUUAAAAUCAAAUGAGAUUUUAGUUGUAAUGAUUAAGUUAAAAGUUUAAAAUUCAUGUGUCAUGGAUUCAAAUCCUAAUAUAGUAUUAUUUUAUUAAAAACAUUAAAUCACAAAAAUAUUUUUCUAUUAAUAUUUAUUACUUUAUAAAAUUAUUUUAGUAAAUUUUUUAAUUAAGCUAAUAUCUGAUUAACUCGUGAUACCAACUUAAAUAUAAGUUUUUAUAUAUACAUUGUGAAGGAAUAACUUUGGAUUGGUAAAGAAAAGGUUCAUAAAUAACUUUCAGUUCAAGUUGAGCCUUUAUAGAGUCCGGGCUCUACUCAAUCUAGGUCCAUUUUCUUAUCAUGGAUUUGGGUCAAAGCUCAGCCCAGUCUUCUUUAGAAGAAACUUUUCAAUUAUUAAAUUAAAACAUUAGAAUUUUUUGUAAUAUAUUAUUAAUAUUAUAUGAUAAUAAAAAAAAAUAUUAGUUAAUAAUUAUUUUUUUUUAAUUUUAUAAUCACAUUAAAUAAACAAUAGCGUUAAUUAAAUUUUGCAUUCGUGUUGAAUUACACUUAUUGUUUUAAAUUAAUUAUUACGUAAUUAAUUUUAUAAUUAUAUACCAAUUAAAAUUAAAAUUUUGUAGUGUAAUUUGAUGCAUUAGCCUUCACACUACUCAAGUUUUGAUUGAGUGGUCUUUUGUAUAGCAAUGUUCAUACUUUAACAUUGUUUUACAUUUGUGAUUGUAAAAGACGAUUUGUGUCUUUUCUCUUUUUCUCAAUGAAAUAAAAGAUCGAAAGGUUGAUAAUUUAUUCAAAAGACUUACAAGAUAAUUUGGGAGAGUUUAUACUAAAUAUACGAAGGUGAAACCAUAAUUAUCUACAAGUGUCGUGAAUGUAUAUAUGAUCAAUUAGCGACCUAUGCGUGUGUCACGACUUAGCAUUUUGGGCUAUCUUGUAACAUUGUAUUUGAAUUAUCCUGUUUAAUUAUCUACAAAUACACUUGCUCAUGGGUUGGGCUAUCCGGCUCAUCUCGAAGGCCCGCCCGAAAUGUGGGAGGAUUUGGGUAAAAAUAUAGGCCUGAAAAAUGGGCUUGAACAAAAAAAUAAGACCCGUUUAAAAAAUAGGUUGGGCCUCAGGUAAGGUAUUUUUAGCCCGGGCUCGGCCUGAAUUCACUAAAUGACAAAAAAAAUCUGCCAUUUUCUUUUUUGUUUUUUAAUGUUAUUUUCUUGUUGUUUUCUCCCUAUUUUGCUACUAUAUUACUAUUAGUUGCUACUAUUUUGUUGUUAUUGUUUGGAUAUUGUAUAAAACUUAUUUUAUUAUUAAUUUUGUUAUUAUUUUAAAGGUAUUUGUUAAUUUUGUUAUUAUUUUAAAGGUAUUUGCUUGUUAAGUUGCAUCUAUCUUAGUGCUAUUUAAGUCUACAUCUUUUUAAAAUUUAUUUUCAAUUUGUUGGAAAAUAUUUGUUUUGAUUUUUUUAAAUAUUUUUGAUGUAUUAUAUAUAUUUAAAAAUUAUAUAAAAUAAUAUAAAAAUAAAUACGGGCGGGCUGGGCCGAGCCCAAAUUUUAGUAUUUUUAUUUGGGUCGGGCUUGGGUAAAAUUUUUGGCCCAUUUUUUGGGCCCGACCUGGCCCGAGCCCAAUGAAUGGGCCUAAAAUUUUAGUUGAGCCCUGCCCGAACCCGGCCCGGCCCAUGAGCACCUCUAUGGACCACAAAUUCAUUACUUAAUAGAUUCAAAUUCGGAAUUUCCUAUCACAAAAAUUUAAAAAUAAUCAUAGAUUUGUAAAAAGAUAAUUCUAAUUUAAAUCUUACGACAUCAUUUACAGGAUAUAUUGUUAGACAAAACACGUUAGCGAACAAAAAUAUAUAAAUAUAAAUAAACAAAUAUUUAUAGAUAAAAAAUAAAAUAAAUUGAAUAAUUUAUAUUUAAAUUGUCAGAUAUGAAAAACCAAUAAAUAACAUAAUAAAAACCAGGAAUAAAAAAGAAGAAACGAGUUUUACUAGAUGUUGAGACCUGUUUUACACAGUUUCCUUAAGACAGAUUUGGCUGCUCCUACAGUACUUGGAGAAUGUUUGGUUGAAUGUCUCCUAGGAUACAACAACAUGAUGAUCGAAACAAUAGCAUCUCUGCAAUGAUCAACGGACAAACGGUGCCUUUUUUCUAUCACUGGAUGUUGGAAAAUAUAGAGAGGAAAAGAGAAGAAUUUUGGAGAAAAAUAAUCUCGGUGUGAGAGUGAGCAAAAAAUUCUAAAGAAGUCUUAGCCUUUUAUAGACAUUCAAAGUGGGGGAGUUUUUGGAAAUAUUCAUGUAUAACGAGACAAAAUCUGCAUUAAAGGGGCAAUUAAAUCAAUUUGAUUAAAAUAAAUUUUACGUUGGGCUAAAUAUCCAAAAACCCAUUAUGGGCCCAACCAAUCCAAACAUUUCGCAUCGCUUACAUUAUGUGAACAAGCCCCAACCCUGAUAGGUUUGGAUCUACACCCCCUCUAUGUGUAAGACAAAGUUCCAAGCUUAAUCAUUCAAUUGCCUUUUAAGUGAGUUCUCAUACAUAUACACAUCUCACACUUGGUAUUUAAUCAAUAUGGAUCUAAGCUUUUCUUUUCCUUAACAAAUAUUUCUAAGUAGCUUACUUUGAGCAUCAAUUUCUCAUUCAUCACUUAAUCAUUUUGAACAUAUGAUAUACCGUUAUAAAGGUCUCAUAGAGUAAAAUAUGAAAUCAUAAUUUUAUAAUUAUUCAACUCUCCACCUUUACCUAUUAAAAAUAUGCCUCACAGUUUCCAUAAAUUACAAUUUUUCUAAACACAUAUGAAUUGGUACCUCAAUAUUGACCUCAAUAUUGAAAAAGAAAACUAGAAAAGCAAGGGGUGGGCUUUUAUUAAAGUUCAAUGUCAUGUUUUUUGAUAAAUGUUCUAUCCAUACAGCUACACCAACUAUCAAUUUUCACGUGCACUUUACCCUUACCUAUCUUCUUCUUCAUCUUUCUUCACUUUGUUCACGUGUAUAAUACAUUGUCCCAACUUUUUACCUUUUUGAAUUUGCUUAGUAAAGUGGAAAUUUGAAAGACUUUCUAUAAGUUUGUUUGGUAGGAGAGAUGAAAAAAUGGAAGGAAAAUAACAAUGCAUAUUUAAAAUACAUGUGUUUAAAAAUAAAUAUUAAUGAGGAACAGCUGUACCUGUUUGACUGGAGUAAAGAUAGAAUUCUAAUUCCUGUUUGAUUUCGUUUUUUGAAUUUAUGGGCCAACUAGUAGCCCAAUUUCAUUCUAUUUUCUUGGGACCAAUUAGUUGGGUUUAACCCAAUGGAUUUUAAUGUGUUACUGUUUUUAAAUUAUAUUCCAGUCGAAUUUUUCAAAAAAAAAACAUAUAAUAAAUAAUUAAAUGUAAGAUUUGAAAUUAAUAAUAAUAACAACACAUAUACAAUAUGUACGAAAUUUAAACACAUAAAUACAUAAGAUAAACAAUACUAAAUGCAUUAUAAUUAUUUAUCAUGAUUUUGUCAUCAUUUGUGAGUUAGCAUCGAGUUGAUUUGUGACACCGACUCAAUUAACAAUAUUAUCAAUAUAUACAACUAAUGGAGAUAAUAAAUUGUGCAUAUUAAAAUAAAAAUGCAUAAAAUAUAUCAAAAUGAAGCUUUGGUUGAAUGGUAAAUUUAAAAUUUUACUAAUUCAAUUGGUGCGAGUUUAAAUAUCACAUAUUCAUAUUUUCAUUGGUUUUUGUUAAAAUGAAAAGACUAAUAUAUCCUCAUAUUUUCAUAAUUUUACUAAUCAAGUUGGUGACUUGGUUGAGGGUGAAAACAACUUAGUAAAACACUUAAUAAAUAGUAUUGAUAUAUAACUAAUGGAGAUAAUAAAUUAUGCAUAUUAAAAGAAAAUUGCAUAAAAUACAUUGAAAUGAAGUUUUGAUUGGACGAUAAAUUUAAGGUUUUACUAAUCAUUUGGCGUGAGUUCAAAUUGGGCCAUAUGCCUAUUUUUAUUCAUUUGUGUUAAAUGAAAAGACUAAUAUGGUUUUUUUUAUUUGUUUUUGUUUAAAAAUAGAAAAAAAAGAAAAUAAAACAUUUGAAAAAUGCGUAACUUUGAACUAACAUACACAUGUUUCUCCUUUCUCUCCUCUCAUCUUUUUAAAUUUGCCUCUAAAUCCUUUUUGUGGGUGUGGUAUGUGUGAGUGGUGUGGUAUAUUUCCGCCAUAUAUGUGAGUACUAGUUUUCUAAUUCUAAAUUUAAAAAAAAUAUAAGUUUAGAGAAUAUAACAUAUAUUUAAAUGAUAUAAUUACUCUUUAUGUAUGGUAUCAUUUAAGUUUUUUAGUGAUGUUUUUGGUAAAUUCAAUGACUGAAUUGAUGCGAUACAAUAUAGGAAAAUGGAAUGAUAAUAUUUUUACAGUAUCUCAUUCAAAGGUGAUCAACUUAGGACCUUUGUGUAAGCAAACUAUCUCUUUGAAAAGUAGUGUAGUGACAUUAGAGGCUUCUAUAGUUUAAUUGCAAGGGUUGAAAUGGGCCAGUUUCUAGAAACGGUUAACCACAACCAAAAUUGAACCCAUACCUCGUUGUGUUUGUGGCAAUCCGAGCAUAAAGUCUGUAGUAAAUCUUGCCAAAUAUGCUCAGGAACUGGUAAAAGGGUGUAAAUGCUGGCAUUUUGAGUUUGCCCUUUAUCAGUUUGGCAUGUAUAGCAUUGUUUAGCCAAUCUACCAACAUCUCACUUCUAUUGAGACCAAUAAUACGUUUCUUCCACAACAACAAUUGUUUUAUCUCUUCCAAGGUCAUGUAAAUCCUAGAUAACUUUCUCACGCAAAGAAGUUCGAGGAAGGCAAAGCUUAUUUCCUUUCAUAAGGAAACCUUUGUAAAUGUGGAACUCACCGUUGGCAUGCUUAUGCUUAUAUUGUAACAUUCCUCGCCCGACUCGAUUGUCAGGUUCUAGUUAUGGAAUGCAACAUUCUUUGUCGUACCAACUACAUUUAAUUUACAAAAAAAAAUAUUCACAUACAUAAUAAUUCAAAACCAAGCAUAUUCAUUUAUGGUUAAACAAUCAAAAUCGAGCAUAUGAAAGCUCUUUUAUAGAUCGAGCACGAAAUAGGACCAAUAUGUAAUGAAAAUCAUGCGAUAGAAUAUGAUCAUAUUAGGAGAGCAGAUUUUGUCUCAAAGAGAUUAAUGGUAUCUUAUGAGGGUAACAUACAUUUAUGAAAAAGUUAUUGGACGAACACUUAAUAAAGUAGUCUUUAUAAUGGUAUAUAAUAAGGGAGAGUUCAAUCAUUGUAUUAUAGUGGAAUGAAUUUAUGAUUAAUUAAGUUGUAAUUAAUAGAGAAAAUACUGAAACUUAAUUACAUAUUAUUCAAACCCUAAUUAUAUAUGUCCAAUCGGUCCCUCUACUAGAUCGAGAUAACUCGAAACAAAUUGAAUGUAGAUCGCAUGUAUCACUAUUCGCAAUGAAUACAUUUUCUCGUUAAAUACAAAAGAUGACUUAAAAAUUAAUUUAAUUUCUUUGAAUUAUUAUUGUAAUUAAAUAAUUGAAAUUUGUAGUGAAAAUUAUAUUAGUUAGUCAUCAUAAGAUUUGUUGGAUGAGACAAUUAAAUUAAUUUCAUCAUGGAAUCCAAUACGGUAAAAUUACCAGGACUUUAAUGAAAUUAGAAUUGGAUUAAGAAAAUAAUUUAAUUAAAUUAAUCAAUUAAUUAAUAUUUAGGAAAUAAAAAAUAACUAUUCAAUUGGAUAAUUGAAACUUAACAAAAUGUAUUAUUUAUUUAUUUUAAAUAGAUUUUAUAUAAUACUUUAAUUUUCAACUGAUGAUGUAGUACAAUCUCAAAGUUACACAUCAUCACUUUUUUUACAUAAUCAAACCUCAUCAGGGGUGGAUCCAGGGGGGUUGGCAAGGGCCCGGCCCCAUAAAAUGAAAAUUUUUCUAUUUAGGCCUUUUAAAUUUAUAAAAUUUUAAAUUAAUAAUAGUAAAAUUGUACUUUGGCCCCUCAAAAUGAUAAAAAUUGAUUUUAUCCUCUAAAAAUUAUAAAGAUAUAAGCUAUUAAAAUAGUGAAGUUGCACUUUUACUAUCGUAAAAAUAUACAAUUUAAUUUUGACUCUCCUCCAAAAUAUUUUCUAGGUUCGCCCCUAAAAUGCUAAUAUAAGUUGGCCCCCUUAAGUCAUAUUUCUGGAUUCGCCAUUGAACUUCAUGUAUUAAAGUGGACUUAGUUACCAAGUUCAAGUAUCAAAUACAAUAUAUAUAUAUACAAACAGAGAAAGGAUUGUAUGAAACUGUGAUUUCAAAUCAUCCCUAUCUCUUUCCAAUAAGAGAAUGACAAAUUUGAUUUUUCCUCCUAAUUUUCAAUAUUUUUAGUUGGAUUUGAAUUUUUUCAAGAGGAAAAACCUGAAAAUCAGGAGGAAAAAUCUAAUUUGUCAUUCUCCUAUUGAAAAAUGGAUAGGGAUAACGUAAAAUUACAGUUUCAUAUAAUCUCUUCUCUAUACCAAAAUAUGACUAAUUACCAAGUUCAAGGGUCAAAAUUUACAUUAACCUAAAUUUAAAUUCAAUAUAGCUCUUAAUAAAGCUAGCUCAAUGACAUCAAAAUUAGUCACAUAUUAUAUAAUAAAUAUAGAUAUAGAUAUAGAUAUAGAUAGGCUACCAACCCCGACCUAGUGAUAAAAACAUUAUGUUGUAAAAUUUGAAAGAUUGGUUUAAUUCCAAACUACCCAUCCACUACCAAUUAUCUAUCAAUCUAUAUCUAUAUUUAUAUACAUAUACAUAUACAUAUACAUAUUUUAAAAAAAUAAAAGGGUAAUUAUUCUAUUCAUUGUUAGCGAAGUAAAAAAAUUUCACAACUGAGUUUAAGACGAUGUUAAGUGUUAUUUUUUAAUUCUUUAAUUAUUAUUUUAUUAUAACCCGAAAAUAAAUGUCAUCAAUCCAAAUCUAGUGGAAUUUUUUCUGACAAUAUUUAAAAUAAUUAUCCGUAUUUUAAAUAAUAAAAAUAGAAAAAGAUACUCUCUCUUUCCUUCUUCCCCCAAAUGUUUUAUUAUUGUUACUUAAGAAUAAUCAAGUUAAAAAAAAAAAAGUAAAUGUUUCAGCCGACUCCCAGCGGCAUGAGCAGUGACCAGUUUUAACGUUCUAAGUUCAGACAUCCGACAAUCAUGCCCAUAUAAGUUGUUGAAAAUGUUAUAAAUUUCCUCCCUCAACUAAUAUCUUUUUAGCUCCUUACCCACUUCCUCGUUAUUUCUCUGGUAUUAAACAACAACAUUUUUUUUUUUUUGCUUUAGUUUCUUUGAAUUAUAUUACAUAUAAUAUUUAAAAGCCCAUGUGGAAAUUUUAUGUUUUAUUCAUUUUUUUGUCAAGUCUGGUUUUGAUUAUUUACAACUUUUUCUAAGCUUUGGAAAAAUACAAAAACCUUCUUCUUUGCUUUCUUUAGUUUCUUGUUUAUCUAUUUAAUAUUUCUGGGUUAUUUACCAGGGAAAUUUCCUUUAAGGAUCAUAGUUCCUUUCUUGGUCUUUUGGUCGUCAACUAGGUCUCUUUUUGUGACAAAUAUUCUACUUCUAGAGAAACCGUAUUAUUUUUCAUUUUUUGGUUUUAGAUUUCUAUGCAUGAUGGUCAAUUCUGAUGCACUGAAAUACAUACAUACAUACAUAUAUGGUGUACCCUCAAGCUUUUUUGUUUGGUUAGGUUAGACAUAAAUUUCGAGAGUAGUUAGCUUAGAGUUUAUCUAAGCAAAAAGAAAAAGAUAUCUUUUUAUAUUUGUCCGUGGGACUGCGCCAACGGAUUAAAUUGAAUAAAAUUUAGCAGCUUGGUCUUAUUUUCAUGGGGUAGCCAUUAUAAAUAACCCAAAAUUUACCUUCCAUAUUCAUUUAUCCUUUCUUCUCUGCAGGUUAUCUUGUAUAUUUGCAGUAAUGGAAAAAAUUCCCUCUGGCGCUUGUAAAACUCUUCAUCUGGUUUGUGCUCAGUUUCUUUUAAUAUUUUUAAAGCAAUUUGUUGAAGAAUAUAAUUUAGUGUUUAUUUAUGUACGAACGUUCAGGUAAGGCAUGCACAAGGAAUGCACAAUCUAGAAUCAGAGAAAAGUCGAGAUCCAUUAACAUCCUUUGAGUUUUUUGAUGCUCAACUCUCCUCUCAGGGCUGGCAGCAGGUGAUAUUUUUCUCCAAGUAUUCGCAUUAUUAGAUAAAUUUACGCUGGAGUCAAACUAACAUAGCUUUUCGAGUUCUUUUUAACAGGUUCGGCAGAAGCGGAAAGAUGUGUGUGCCAAUGGACUGCUUAAAAGGAUUGAGUUAGUCAUCACUUCCCCUAUGUCAAGGUACCAAAAUUUUAGCAUAUAUCUAACAAAUGUUUUCUUUUUCUGAGGCAAGUGUUGUCAUGUUUUUUUAUAUGGUUGGAUUAUUACAGGACAUUGCAAACGGCGGUCGGAAUAUUUCAUGGUGAAGACCAACCAGAACUGUCAGAUGUCACUUCAUAUGAGGAAGGAAAUGGGAGGAUUAGUGAUAAUGAUCAGCAACCAACUUUCAAUCGCCCACCAAUUAUAGCACUUGAAGUUUGUCGUGAACGAUUGGUAUGGUUGCUAACAUCCGAAGAUACCGUAUUAUAAAUGCAAUUUAUAUAUAUAUACACAUAUGUGUCAUUAUAUUUCAUGGUAAAAGUAAUUAUAUUAAAAAUUAUUAAAUCAAAAAGUAAACUUUUUCUGUUAAAAGUUUUAUCUAUUUUUUUAAUAUUAAAAAUCAGUCUCUGUAUGUUAACAUAAGGUAAAUAUGACAUAUCACGUGUAUUUGUCUAAUUUAUUCUAUAAGUUAUACUAGUUUUUAAUAAUAAAAUUAGAUGAAAUUUUUGACAGAAAGAAUUAAUUUACUCUUUAAUCUAACAUAUAUAAACUAAUUUACUCAUUUUUUUUAAUAAAGAGAACAAAAUGUAGAAAUACAUUAUUUUAUUAAUUCCAUGUUUGGUAUUCCCUAUUCAAGUUUGGACUAUAUUGUUUUGUCCUCGAUGCAUAGUGUUCGGUACAAAACAAAGUUGUUUUUAUAUGGAUAGCUGAAACUUCGAAUACGGUGAAAUUAGAAUUUUUUAUAUAUGAAUCAUAAAUAACUUUUAUUGUAGGGAAAAUACGAAUGCGACAAGAGAGGAACUAUCAGCCAUUAUCGGUCUCAUUUCCCCGCGGUUGAUUUUUCAUUGGCAAGUGUUUAUUUCUUUCGGUCAUAAUUUUCACACGUUCUUGGUUAAUUUCAAUACAGUCCCCCAUUGAAUACUACUUUCAUUAGUUAACAUUCACCAACAUGCACUAAACCCUAAUGUUCAGAUCGAAAAUGAAGACGACAUUUUAUGGGAAGCAAAUAAAAGAGAGCCCUUCGGAGAUGUACUAGCUAGGGGAAUGAAGUUUAUCAAUUGGUUAGCUCUAAAGCUUUGACUAAUUUUGUUCACACCCACGGUGUACUUGGAAAAAAUCUUGUCCAUGAAUGCUUUUUUUAAAGGCCAAAUUUGUAUUCUCACUUUUAUAAAGUUAUACGGUAAAAGUAUCAUGAAUGCUCUUAUAAGAAUCAGAUUAUAUUUUGCUCAUUCUACUAAAAAAAUAGAUAAAUUAGUCUGACGUUAGAUCAAAAAGUAAAUUGGUCCUUUAGAAAGAAAUUCCCUAUUAAAAACUAGUCUUUAUACCUCAACAUGCAUGAUAUACAAAUGCAGCCAUGUAUUACUAUUUGGUUAUUAUAUCAGACACUCCGGUUUAUAAUAAUACAAAUGGUUAAAAUAAUUUAUCCAUUUUUAAUAAAAAUGACUAAAUUAUUCUUUAAUCUAAUGUAUAAAAAUCAAUUACUUAUUUUUUAAAUAGAGUGAAUAAAAUAUUAUCCGGCUUCUAAUAUUAAAACUUCUAUAAUACUUUUCCGGUUGUUGGUCCAAAACCAUGCACUUUGAUGACUGGGUUAAACUAUUGUUGGCUUAAUUAUUUUUUUUUUUUCUUUUUUUUUUUGUAGGUUGUGGACAAGGAAAGAGACAGAGAUAGCAGUGGUGAGCCAUGGUGUGUUUUUGCAGGAAGCUUUUGAACUUAUUAAUACUAAUAAGUAUCGGGCCUUAAAGGUUCGAGCCCCCCGGUCAGUAUACAAUUAAAUUAAAGUUCAUCAACUAUUUAAUAAUGCUAAUUUAAGGGUAUUUAUUUAUAUAUAUAUAUAAAUUCGGUCAUAUUUAUUUUUUGGGACAUAAUAUUUAGAAUUAUUCAUAACUUUUUUUACUGCAUUAACAAUAAUAUUUACACUAUUCAAAUUAAGAUUUAAUGGGUAAUUUAAUAACUAGAGCUAAAAAGCCAUAAUUUUGUUUUUAUAACAUUGGACGGCAACAACCUUUUAUAUUCACGAAGAGUUGUAAUUGCAUGAACCAUGUGUUUAUUAGUGAUAAUUAAUUUAUAGAUAAUUGCAUUUUCUGUCUUAUUAUUAAGCAAAUAUUAGAACGACACUUGAUUAGGCGUAAAUUUCAUAAAAAAAAAAUUGUUCCAAGUGAGACUUUGACCCUUAAUCACGACAAACACGUGACUCCCUAUUUCUAUGUUUAAAGUUUUAUCAUGUAUUUUAAAAGAUAAUUUUGGUUAACAUAUAUUUGACUAGCUUUCAAUUUUUAUAUAUAUGCAGCUUUGAAAACUGUGAAAUACGUUCAGUCCGCAUUUCUUAUGAAAGGUGAGAGUUUUUGGUAAAUAUUUCGUAUCUAUAUAUUAGUAGCUAGAUCGUAUUUUUAUUAAUUUAUUUUUAAAUUGCAAUUUUUUUAGUGUAAUGGGAUUGGGAUCAGAUUUGAUGCAAAUUGGUUAUUAUGAAAUGAGUAUCCCACAUGGAAAUGAAGUCCAAAGAGAUUCCAAGAAAAAAAAUGUUUCAGUGGAGGAAUUGGAAGUCAUCAAUUAAUGGAUCUUUAACUCAGUUACUUCUAAGAUAUUAAAUACUGAUGAUAGAAUAUUAGCUCCAUUGGUUUUUUAAACAUGUACCUGCUAACUACUUUAAUUGUUUUCUUAGAAUUUUUGUCUUUAAUUUGGUAGCAUAAUAACGAAAAACAUUGUGAGAAUAUUAUUAAGCUAAACGUUGUUUAUAGAACGGCAGGUCGGCUUAGUACUUUAUAUUUGGACGGCCACCGGUCGGUAUUUUUCGUCGUUUAUUGUGAUUUGAUUAUUGCCGACAAAUUGCCGUCGUCCGUCCCUGUUGUUAUCCUAUGCCGCCAAAGGCUCGCUUUUGUAAUUUAUGUUUGUUUAAGAUAUUGUUUACUUCAAAGUUUUCCUCCUUGAAAUAAAAAACCAGAGUAGGAAACACUUUGUGUUAUGCCAUUUGAAAAUUUGGAAGUUUGCUGGGUCAGGUUGACCAUCUCCAUAAACCAUAAUAUAUAUACAUUUUACUCAACUCAUAACCAUUUAAACGAUAUAGAUAGUUAUUGAUAUUAUAUAAUAAAAAAAAUAGUCAUUUUAUGAUUCAUAUUUGAAGUUUGUAGUUACUUCUUCCAAUAAUAUUAUUUUCAAUAUUCAAACGAAUAUCAUUUCCGUGAUUCAAAUUUUAUCACAUAUGUUAUCUUUAUUAUGAGUCAUUUUUUAAAAUUUUUACCAUAUACGAAAGUAUAUCAAAUUAUUUAGUGAAAAUUGUAGUGGUUUUAAUAGUUAAAAACAACAAAACUAUCAAGAGAAGGAUUUGUCGGGACAUUACGCAAUAAUUAAAGUAGUUAAGUGUCAAAGAAGAUUUCUCUUUUUUUUUUUCUCAUACACAAUUAACAUUAAUAAGUAUUCCUCCAAAUUUUAUCUUCAUAUUCAAAAGUAUCCACUAUAUCUGUAGUUUCGAAAGCAUCUACUACUAAGCUUUAUCUUCAAACCUUAUCAUUAAUCCGCAUAGUCUUUGUCAUUGUUUAUUCACUUAUCUCGUAAAAGAUAAGCAUUCCUAAACCUUUUUUCAAGUACUUGGACACUACUCCCUUUUUAUUGCAUAUACAUAACAAAUAAUAAUACAAAUUUUUUAAGUGUGGUUUGAUAAAUUAAAAAUUAAAUAUAUCAAUCGCGUGUGAAUAAAUAAAUUAUUGAAAAUGUUAAAUUUUUUUGAAGGGUUAUAAAAAAAAACAUUAGUCAACAAAUUUCAACUAAUAUUGCAUAACAUUACACCCUAAAAUAAACAUGUUUCAGUACUCUUUAAACUCGUUUUAUAAAAUUAAUAGAUCAAAUAAAUCUUCUACUUUGAAUCAUUUAAAAGUUUCUUGAAUUAUCGAUGACAAGUUUCAACCAUUUAAUUUUAAAUUUUGAACGAGGGAAUUAAAAAUUAAUUUUAUAAUUUGUCCAUAAUAAACUUGAUGGAGUGGCAACAAAGUCGUUCAUUCCUUAACUAGCGUAAUUUUAUGCUAUGCAAAUCUCAUCCCUCCUUGUUUAGACUUUUAUUUUCCUUUCUGAGUUUUUUAUUGAUAAUUUUAUGAUUAAGACAGAGGUAAUCAAUUGGUUUGGGGUUAAUUUUAGUCUACCUACUUGAUUUUUGUUAGAGAUUGAUUUUUCUUUGAAAGCUCUUUUAUUUUUCAAGAAAAGAAAAACAUAUUCACACCUUAAGCUGAUUAGAUUGCCCAAUGUCAAUUAAAGAUAUUUUACUCUUUUUUUUUUGUAACGUGUAUGGUAAAACGAACAUGUUUAUAAACACAUAAUUAAAUAAUUAAUUUAACAAAUUAACAUACAAAAAUAAAUCUAAAUUAAGCUCAUACAUAUUGAAAUUUGAAUCUAAAACUUUAAUGUGAAUGUUUCCGUAGACAAAAUAUUUUAUAAAGGAAAAAGAAAACGAAAAAAGAAUCAUAGCCAGCCAUUUAGAACAUUUUUCUUUGUAUUGGUAUUAUUAUAACAAUAAAUGGUUGACAAAUUUCGAGAGCUUUUCUAAAGUAAACUCCCAUGAUUUUGAUCCAUCUACAUUUGUCCACUCCUCACAAAUUGGAGCAUCAAAUUCCUCCCGGCACCGACUCCAUUAAUCGGGAUGGCAACGGGUUAACACCGGCACUAGAAAAAUUCUAAGGGAUCCACUAACUAGGUGGAGAUUAAAUGCGCGUGCCACUAAUGUUUAGUUGCGCCAAGAAUAAUCUUUUGUGUAGUGCAUAUAACAAUAGUGCUGUCAAUUUGGCCAAUGAGAUCAACAUUUUUCUUUGGUUAAAAUAUCUCAUAGGUACUUCCUCACAUAAGGAUUUAUGGCAUCUUUGGUAAAAUGACAAGUAUGAAAACUUGGUCAUUCGAAAUUACUAGUACAAAAAGGAAUGAAAGAGCCAUUUUGUGAUUGCUAUGGAUCAUUUUAGUCAAGUCUCCUUGCAUUAAUUGUUAAUGAGGUGGUGGUAGAUAUAAUGAUGGGCAACUAUUAGCGUAAGGAAUUGAAAUGUCAAAAUGUUUUAAAUAAUAAAAAUUAAGCAAUGCAAAUCAUUUCAAAAAGUUUUUAUGCAUUCAACUUAUUCAAUUACUUAAUUGAAUAAACAAUUCAAUAAUAAAAUUAAAUAAUUAAUUAAAAAUUAUAUAUUUUAUAUAAAAUGAGAAUCGAAUUUGAGACUUCAAAAAUUUGCUAUCCCAUUGAACCUGGGUUUUAUUAGCAAUAAUUCCAAAAGUUAAAAACAUCAUUUUCUUUCUUUUAAGCAUAAAAUAAUAAAUUUAUCUUUUGAUUGUCAAUUUGACUCUUAUCCUUUUUUUUUUAGCUAAGUUUGAUCAUUAACCUUUUAAAAAUAGUUAAAUCUGUCUUUUUUAACGAAAAUGUUAACUAAAACAUCAGUUUUUUAACUAUGUUCACUUGGCAACUUUUGUGUCAAUCUAUGUGUACUUUAUAUUGACAUGACACUAUUUGUUAAAAAAAUCCUAUAAAGUACACGUGGGUUGUGUCGAAACCAUUUUUAAAAAAAACGAGAAUCGACCUAUUUUUGAAAAUGAAAAUCAAAACAAGAGUCGCCACUGAUCUUUAUUAGGUGUAAUCGGAUCACCUUUGUUUUAAUAAAACGUUUUGGUUUACUAAAACGACAUUUUGGUCUACGAAAUUCAAGAGAACAAGUUCGGAAGCCGGUUACGUGCAAGGAAGGAUUAGCACCCUCGACACACCCAAAAAUUGGUACCGAAUUGAUUAGUUAGUGUCUUAAUGUCGAAAAUUAAAAAUCGGGAAUAAAUUUGAAAUACGAUCCUUUUUAUUAACCUCGAUUUUAAAAUUCUUGAAUUAGCUCAAAAUGAUUGUUGAAGAUUUCCUUAUCUCGAGAUAUCGGAGUAUCACAUCCCGUAAGUUAGGACACAAUACCAUGAAUUCCCGAGCGCAAGGUCGUCUUUAAUUUAAAUCGGAAUUCCAUACAUUUUAAAACUUAAAGGAUAUUUAACUAUUUAGAAUCAAUGAGAGAAUCGAAACCCCGUAAGUUAAGGCACAACUCCUCGAUGUUCCAAAACGCGAAACAUUACCUUAUUUUGAAAUUUUGCUUUUGAAUAAUAACGAAUCCGAUAUUUAAACGGCGUAGAUAUUUAUUUAGAUUAGAAAAACGAUUCAAGUUGGAUAAAUGCAACGAAGCUUGAUUCAUGGGGGGUGAUGAUAUGACAUAAAAAUAUAGUGCGUCAUGGAGUGAUGAUAGGUGAAUAAAAAUAUUAGACAAAUAAAUGACAAUAAUAUGAAAGUACAAAUAACAAAUCAUAAUACAUGCAAUGGCAAUAAUCACACAAGGUACAUCAUUUAGGUAUUAAUAUUAACAAUUAAAGACAAAUGAAUUUGAUAAUAAUUUAAAAGGUGUCAAACAAAUAAAAAUGAAUAAGAUGUACAACGAUUUUAAAAUGAUAAUGAGGUUAAAAUAAUGUGAAAAAGGAGAUUUUAAAUUAAUAAUAUGCAAAACAAUUUAAAAGAGAGGAUAUAUAUCUAUAUAUAAAGCAUUAAAAUAGGUAACAUAUAUAUAUAAUAAUACUAUAUAAAAAACCUAAAAUGAACAAUAGUAAAACAAUUUAAAACAAAUAAAUAAGUUGUAUAAGACAAAUUUAAAUAAGAAUAAGACAAGUUCAAAAUAACAUAUAUAAAGGAAUUUAAAAUAAAAUAUUAAGAGGCUCAAAAUAAUAAUAUGUAAAAAGAAUUUAAAAUAAUAAUAUAAAAGAAAUUUCAAAGUAAAUAACAUAUAAAAUAAUUUAAACCAAGUAAUACAUAUAAAACUUUAAAAUAGAUAAUAUACACGAAGAUUUAAAAUAAAUCAUAUGUGAAGAAAAAAAAAAGAAAAAAAAUUUAAAAUAGAUAAUAUGUAUAGGAUGAAAUGCAUAAAGAGUUUAAGAUAAACUACAUAUAAAAGCUUUAAAAAAUAGAUAAUUCAUAUACAAAAGAUUCAAAAAUAAUAUAUAAAAAGGAUUCAAAAUAAAAAGCAAUGUGAAAUAAUUAAUGUAUAUAAUAGUUCAAGGCGACAUGUAUUAAAAAAUAUUUUAAAAUGGAUAUCAUAUAAAAUAUAAAGUGAAUAAUAUAUAAGAUAAUUUAAGCGAAUCUAUAUAUAUGCAUAUAUAUAGAAGUUUUAAAAUAAAAAAUAUAUAAAAAUGUUUUAAAAUAAGUAAUAUAUAUAGUAAAAUCAAAACGAACAACAAUAAAAGGAAUUUAAAAAACGAUUAAUACCUAAAUUAGUAUAAUUGAGUAACACUUGAGAAAUUUUAAAAUAUAUUAUAUAUAAAAUAAUUUAAAAUAAAAAGUAUAUGUAAAGAUAUAAAAUAAAUAAUUAAAUAGUUCAAUGACAACAUUAGGAAACGAUGAAAAUAAACAAAAUUUAUUUAAAAGAAUAAAUAAAAAUGACAUUAAUAAUAGAAAUGAAAAAUCAGAAGUUUAAAACUAUGUAAAAGGAUACAAAUGAAUAAAAUGAUAAUAAUAAAAGAUGUAUAUAUGAAAAACAAAAGUAAUAUAUUAAUACAUAAAUAUAAAUGGGAGUAUAAUGAAUGGAAAUAUAAUAGAAGCAUAAAUAAAUAAAUAGAAUUAGAGAAACAACAAUAAUGUUAGAAAAAUAAAAUAAACAUGAAUAUAAAAUUUUAAAAGUAAAACGAGGAAUUAGCAAAUAAAUAAAUAAAUAAUAUUAUUAUUGAAUUCAAGUAUAUAAAAUGAUAAAUAAGUAAUGAAAUUAAACAAAUUAGGACUUAAUCGGAAUCAAAACAAAACAAUAAAAAAACGGAAUAAAAUAUAAAUAUCGGGCCUAAAUUAUAACAUGCGAAUGAGAUGGGGGACCAAAUGGGGGCAAUAUCCUCGUCCCCCAAAACACAUAAUUUCAAUAAGGACCGAAUCUGAACAUUUCAAAAAUUACAGGGUAAAAAUCAAAAGAAAAGAAAAGGAAAUAAGGCUGAACUGCGACAGACCACAAAAGAGGAGGGAUCGAAUAUGUAAAUAACCCAUAAGGCAUGAAAACACGCGGAUCCUGGUCUCCAGCGGGUUGGGUCGCGCGGGUCUGACACCCAAACGGCGCCGUUUAGGCGCUAGUAACCUUAAGGCAAAACGGCACCGUUUUGCUGUACUAUUUAAACCAAGUUUUAACAUUUUAUUUUAUUUUUGCUUCAUUUUCUAAGAAGAACAGCCCCCCUCCCCCCCGAUUUGUGCUCUGCUAGGGUUUCAAAAGAAACCGAUCGUGGCCGUCAUCGCACAAUACCACCGAGGGCAGUGGUUGAGGCCGUGCGAAGGGGUUUUCUGACCCCGGCUUAGGGCACCCGAAGGUGGUGCUUUACUUGGCCCGAGGACCCGAGAGAAGAGACCUCAUUUUCCCUUUCGGGAAUCGGUCUCGACGACGAAGCAGGGGCUCCGACGACCGGCUCCGGGUUCCCAGGUAAAUCCUCUUUUCUAUUUUUUUCUAUAUAUUUGUGUUAAAAAACUGAUUUGAGAACAGAAAUUAAAAUAAAGAAACUGAAAUUAAAAAAGAAAGAACAAGACUCAACCUUUUUGUUUUUUUUUGAUUGCUUUGUGUGUUCGUAAAAAAAUCAAUUUGGUUUCUGUUUAGGCUUUAUAGCCGAAAAUACAAAUGAUUUCGUCUAUGCUAUUCUAUGUUCUGCUUCUUUGCUUCAUUUUUUGCUCUAUUUUGCCUUUGCUCUAUUGUCCUGCUUUGCUUGCCCUUUUUGGCUCUCUUUUGCAGGUGCACAAAGGUCAACGGGGGCCAUAGAUGUCCAUUUCGGUGCAACGAGACAAAGGGAAGCCGAACCUCGGGCGUUGGUCUUGCUGACGGAGCACGUGGGCGACAGAAGGAGGAUGCGGCGCUAGGGCUAGCUCAGAAACCUUAGGAUUUCUGAGUUGGUUUAAUGUUUUGGGCCUAUUGGGCCGAUAGAAAUUGGGUUAACGGUUUUGGGUUGAGUUUGGGCCAUUUGUAAAAUGGGCUUGCUAGGUUUUAAUUUUUUGGGUUAGGUUUAGUAAGGUUCUGGAUUGUGAAUGGACUGGAAUAUUUGGACAUUUUUUGUUUUUAUUAUUUUUUCAUUGUUUGGGCUUGCAUUUGGUUAUUUUUGGUUUCGAAUGGGCCGGGCAAAAUAAGGCUGUUACAGGUUGUUAUGUUUAAAAAUUUAAUGUUUUAAUCAAAAUUUCUGUUAAAAUAAUAAUUCUACUCUUUUUUAGAAGUUAUGGUUAAA